rnacentral:lncRNA from 1 species
UUUUUUUUUUUUUUUUUUGAUAAUUUGAACAUAGACAUCUUAAGUAACAAUUCUUGCUAGACCCAAUACUAAUAUCAUUGACUGAAACUUUUUAAGGAGCACGAUUGCUAGGUCCAGCACCAUUGUUGUUGAUGGGUUCAAAGAAAGAGUCAUUCCACACAAAAUCACUAAGCCAAGGUUGAACAUUUAGCAUAUCCAUGUCCACUGCAUAGAUUUGCAACUCAUCCCUAUCCAUUUCAGGAGCCACCAUAUGAGCCUUGUUAGCAGACCAUGCGGGAUUUGGCAUCUUACUCAUAGGCCUUUCAGGAGCCACCAUGGAAGCUUUGUUAGCAGACCAUGUGAUGUUUUGCAUCUCAUUCGUUAGCAUAUCAGGAGUCAACAUGGAAGCAUUGUUGGUGGACCAAGCCCAAUUUUGCAUGUCACUCACAAGCAUUUCAGGAGCCACCAUGGAAGAAAUGUUGGUAGACCAGGUAGGACGUUGCAUCUCGCUCAUAGAGAAUUCAGGAGCCAGCAUGGAAGAAUUGCAGGUGGACCAGGUUGAAUUUUGCAUUUCAGGGGCCGCAAUGGAAGCAUUGUUGGUGAACCGGGUUGGAUUUUGCAUUUCAGGAGCCACCAUGGGAGCAUCAUUGGUGAACCAAGUCGGGUUCUGCAUCAAACCCAGAGGCAUUUCAGGAACCACCAUGGAACCGUUGUUGGAAAACCACUUGAAAUUCUCCAUCUGAUUGCCUACUGCUGAAGUUGUAGUAGUAGCAGGCCAUGUGAGAUUUUGGAUCUCACUGGAAGGCAUUUCAGGAGCUACCAUGCGAGCAUUGGUCAAGAGCCGUGUGAGAUUUUGCAUAUCACCAAAUGGCAUUACAGGAGCCACCAUGGAAGCAUUGAGAGAGGGCCAUGUGAACUUCCGCAUCUCAUUCACAGGCAAUUCAGGAGCAACCAUGCCUUCAUCGUUACCUCCGUAUCCACCUGUUUCCAGAGGCGCCUUAGGUGCAGAUGGUUGAGGCACGGUUUCCUUAAGAACUGAUAUCCUUCUGGAAACUUCUCUCAGGUUUCGACUGACCAUCCACUCCAGCUCAUUGAGAUCAGCCCAGCGGAGGUUUUGUACCUCCUCACCACGCAAGCACCUGUACAUGAUGUUGGUGACCUCGUUCUCUCGGAUGCCGUUGUGUUUUCUCCUGAUUUGCUCGUGAACCUUGUCCACCCUUGAUCGGGUGUAGCUUUGUUGGUUCUCCAGCCUCCUGAAUCUCUCUGGAAGAGAUUUAUACCUUUCAAGCAGAUCUAGCACAGCAGGUGGGGAUGGAGGCCAAGUCUCAGGUUCCUGAUCAUGAGGGCCAUAGAUGAUGGCACAGGCAUCAAUGCCACAUAGGGUGCUUAACUCCUGCACCUUUUUGAUCAAGCCAUUCUUUCUCUUUUUGAAGCAGGUUUUUCUUUCGGUUUCAUUUCGAAUGAAGGCUAACUUAAUUUUUUUUCUGGUCAUGGUUAUUGGCAAGGGAGUGACAGAGCUAGGAAGGUAAAAAGGAAAAGGGUGAAUUAUGAGCUUAUACAAGGAAGAAAAGUUAUGAAGCUUAGAUGUUUGGGAUGCUUAGCUUGAUCUCUCUGCUUGUAUUUAUAAUGAAAUUUGGGCUACGAAAAUCUGUGAAACUUAAUUGGAGCGGUUAGUUGGUUUUUGCUUCAAUUACUAUGGCAAUAAAAUUCUUUGUUUUUUGCUAACAAAAGGAAUUAAUGCCAGAGAUUUAUCUUUAACCCGGGUUGCAGUCUGCUCUAUUUUGCUCAUGACAAAUGUAAUCACAAUUUCAUAACAGACGAGAGUACUUGGCUUUUUGUUCUGGUCAGUGGUAAGUAAAGUGGAGUACAACAAGGCUGGGUCCAAUUUGAUAUGGACAACAGAUCAUAUUAAGAAAAAUUAAGUGAAAUCGAAAAUAAAUCAUCUCAAUGUUAACUUUUUUAUCAGAAAAUAAACUAUGCCACAGAAACAAGAAAGAAUAUAAUUAAACUACAUUAGAAAAGGAAAUAACAGGUGCUUAGACAGUAGUGUUACAGUAUAAAGCCGUGGUUGUGGACUCGAAAGUAAAGAAAUUUCUUGCGGCAGUGUUUCCUAUAAAGUACAAGUCGACCUAAGUUUUUUAUGUACUUUUCUUGGUGACAUAUUGGACCUGAAUUUUUGGACAAUCUUAUUAACAUACUUUCGUUUUGUUUGUCUUUUGGAUGUGGAUAAUGGCUACUGUACAUGGAUCUCACGAACUUGGGUUCUUCAAAUUACUUGGUGGUGGCAUCAUUUUGUUAUGGGGUUUGGACUAAAGUAAUUAAACAGUAAAUUUUGGCAAAUGAACUAAAGCACGGAAGUUAGUAGCAAACGUGACUUUGGUAUCUUAGUAAUAAUUAGAGUGACAUGAAUCUAGGCUUUACAUAUGAAACAAGGAAAAAUCAAGCCCGUUGAUAACAAUAGAGUUACUUUCGUGUAUUUACCAUAGUUUUAUCCUAACAUUUGUAUAAAUUAACCGCCAGUAGCUGAUUCUUUUAUUGAUAAUAUGUGAUCAAAUAUAUCACCCUACUUAAAAAUGUUUUCCUCUAAUAGGAGAAACGCACAUAAAUUAUCCAUAUGUGGUACUGGCUAUCAAUCCUUACUGCAAUUACUUCUAAAGACUUUUAGAUGUGUUUUUACUGAAUGAAGCUUUGGUGUAAUUUCCAUGACUAACUUAUAAAGAAAUUAUAGAAUCAAACUUACACUUAUUCAGAGCUACAAAAACGUUAGGGAAAAAAAAGGUCCAUCAAUAUCACCACACUAAAUUAAUCAUAUUUUUUUGUGGGGGGGGGGGGGGGGAACUGAACAAGUAAAUGAUUCUCGGGUAUGAACUUAAAUUCCAACGCCAAAAGAAACCACAUUUGGAUGCUUCAGUGAAUCUCAACUGCUAUUUGACAUUGGCCAUAUGAUCAGAGUCCCUAAUUAAUCAAAUUGGCCCCAAUUAACACCCUUUACGUUUUUCAAUCCUAAUUUAAGGUAAGUAACAUGUGAAGAUAGUGUGUUUGGAUUGAGAUGAUUUGAAAAAAAAAUAAUUUAUUUCACAAAUUUCAGUUAUCUUUUUAUCUUCUUAAUCACUUUUUUAUCUCACAUACAUCGCAUCACAAAUAGUGCUACAGUAAUUAUCUCAAAUAAAUCAUGCAAAUGAACUCCUAUCCAAACAAGUGUUUUAUCUCUGGCUCAUCCUGGCCUCAUCUAUAGAAGCUUGCCAAGACCUUUCUUUUUUCCUUUUUUUUUUUUUGGGUUCUGAUGUUUAUCCCAGCCUUAUCUUUAGCAGCUUGGCAAACCCUUUGUUCUUUUGUUUUCUUGGGGGUUUUUUUGGGGGUUGGAGGGGAGGGGUAAUGGGGUUAUGACACGUGUCCGUUUUUUUUUCUUUUACGACAUGUGUGUAUUGACUCAGUGACUUGAGUUCGUAAACGUUAUUACAUAUGUCUGCAGACGGAUUAUGUUUACCUGGACAUGACACUCUGUUUAUUGCAUGUAAGGCCAUCAUCAAUUGUGAAAUAACACAAAAUGGAUUCUGAGAUAUUCUUCUCUAGUAAGUAGUAACCAGAUACUGUUCUUUUUCCUCCUACAAAGAGCCUUAUUUGAGGUCCAGAUUAUUUUGACAUCCACGUACCAUAUCAAACUGAACAUAUGCACUAGUUCUCAAGGACGUAGAUAAAUUAAGCUCAGAAAUUCCUAAAAAAUUAGUGUUGCGAGGUGGAAAAGAAGCACUUAAUUCCAAUUAAAAUGAUUACAAACACGAAUGGUUUACUGUCUAAUUAGGUUUUGAAUUUUUCGGACGGACGGUUUUGACUCUUUCUUUAUUUCUGGUUCAAGGCUAAAGGGACAAUAUGUCCUAGGCAGGACUAUUGUCGUUGGACGUGAUCAGGCCGUUCAGUACAUCAAAGAAGUUGCACUUUCAGUUUUUGGAUUAAAAUCUUUUGCCUGCAAUCCCAAUUUAUGUCGACCAGAGAACACUUUUCUUUGGAAACCAAAAGGGCCUUGCUUCUUGAUCGAUCCGGACCACAAAACUGUGCUUGUUAUAAGAGAAUUGGAUACAUUAGGCGUCAAGGAGAAUUGGGUAGAAAGUAUAGUACAAUCGUUUAUAUUUGACCAAACUGUGCAAGACCAAGGUUGGCAGUUGUUAAUACAGAUCCAAACAUCCUGUACUCAGGUUCUAAACUUGAUAAGGAGACAAGCCCCUAGAGACAUAGGCUUUGCAGCACACCUAGAGGGUAUCAGAGACUUUAGCUCAAUAUUUAGGAAAUGCUCAUUUGAUAGGUUAUCUUGUGACCUUAACAGAAAAAAUGUAAGACUGAGUGAACUUGCAACACAUAUGCUUUUUGAUGAGGAAUUUCUAGAUCUUCAGCGUCUUAGUACACUUUUUGUAUAGUUCAAGAUGAGCCCUUGUUCACAUAGUGUAAUGUUUUUUUACUACCAAUAAAUCUCUCUAUCGUUUCUGGAAAAAAAAAAAAAAAAAGGAGCAGGUUUCCAGUUAAGUUGAUUCGGAAUUCGUUCAAGUACAUGAGCUUGAAGCCCAAAUUUAUUUGGCAAACUGGCAAGUAAAUCUUGUAUUCUUUGGAAUUGACCAAAAAGAAAAUGAAAAAAAAUAGCGAAAGGGUCCAACCUAACAAUGUAAUGUUGGAGGAGUAAGACAUGUUCAAGUACAGUUUCAGAAGACGAGGGUGGUUCCAACUUCUUGACAAAGACAUCCAAAACCUAAUUCACAUGCAAGUUAAACAAAGCUCUGAAAGAAAUACAAGAACUGAUUUUGCAGCUUAGAACUUUCUUUUUCUGCUAGAAUACCAUAUGGAUAUUGGACUGCAUAACAUGUUAGAACUUGCUUAUCAUUGGAAAGGGUGCUGUUCAAUUAAUGAGCUCUAUUCUAGUUCCAUACAAGAAUUAUAUAGCUUGAUUCUAGAUUUGUUGCAUGUUCUGGCUGAAGCCUGAAUGCUACUGUAAAACUUACUAAUUUCAAGAAUUUCAUGAGCUGUAUUCUAACAAAACAAUGGUGAAAGAAAAUGACGAGGCAUCCUAAUAGAUACAUGUUACAUAAAUAGCCAUGAGCUAAAGAAGAACGUGGGAAAAAAAUGAAGACAUAAUGACAAAAUUCAUCCGGACCUCAUAGGGUAAACUUCAAAAGUUAUUGAAUCUUUCUACAAAAUAGGGAAUGCUGCCCUCCUAGUUUAAUCAAAUUAUUAGCAAUUAUCCUUCCAACAUGGAUGUAGAGUCUUUGAUGUGUAAUAAUACUAUGCCCUUUUGGACCCAAAGGAAAAAGGGAAAAACUUUUGUACCCAAAAAGAAGAAGAAGAAGAAGAAGAUGGGAGAACACAUUUGUGUUUACAAUAGAAAUGUGGACUGUAAAAAUCUAAGCCACCUCUAAGUGCAUGUAAAACCUCAUUCAAAUCCUGAGCAUUUUCAACACGCAAAUAGGAGGAAUGAAAUGUGAUACAUUAUUGAUGCCUUACUACUCAAAAUCCAAACGUCCUGGUGCAUAAAUUCAGAUAACACUCGUGUAAUUUCUACCUUGGCUAAAUUGUUUCAGUCAAAGAUCAAGUGGAGAACUGAAACUGCAGGUAUCUCACGCUUCAUUCCAGGAAACUAGCAAAGAAAAUGUAAAAACAGUCUCGAAGCCAAAAAUUGGUUUUAUCAUUCACUAUGAAGUAUAGUUAGUUUACAUGCAAAACAUAAAAUGUGUAGGCUUCUGAGUUUCACCACAGAGAUUUGAGCAUAUAUGAAGAGGGGAAAUUAAUAACAUAGUAUGCGAAUAAAAUGUCAUUUGUGUAUCAUUUACGUAGAUAUCACAUGCCCAAAAUGAAUACUAAGAUCCCGCAUACAACUCAUUUGUGUGAUUUCGUCUUAAAGGGCAUUGCCUAUUUCAUCUGCAUAAAAUGCAACUUAACGUUAAUUUACUAAGUGAAUUCCAUCUACAGCUGCUUUAAUUGAGUAUAACUUGGUGCGUAUCGAAACAUAAAAUUUUUUGUCAGAACAGAAUAACGAAUUGAUUCCUCUUGCAGAGAAAAACUAAAUGGCAAGUGUUGACAUCUUCAUUCAAUCACCUAUAGCAACAAUAUAUGAGAACUGGAAUAACAUCCCAAUUCAUAGCUAAGAAAGAGGAACAGAUUUCAAUGGACGUCUACGUUUUGUUGUUUUUUUUGGGCAAAACUGGCAAAAUAGGACUUUUAACGUAAGUUUCCAAAGCUGGAAUCCAUGAUUAUGGCUGACUAAUUUGAUGUAAGCUACCAGUUGAAGCUCGAACAAUAGGAAUCAUCAGUUGGUUGGCAUUUGGAACAAAAUGGUCAACCACCUGAAUAAGAAAUUGGUAACUGUAUUAUGUUUUAAGCAAGAAAAUGUUUGGUACGAUUAUUGGUGUAAGGAAUCUUUUUGGUACAAUUGGAAAUUUCUUCGAAUUGGAUUAGAUCCAUAUGCUGGUUCUGCAACUCACGUACUUUGUAUGUACGACAACAAGCAAGGUCUAAAGAAAUGAAAGCUUUUGGCAAUUGAUAGCCUAGAUGAUAAAUUUGUGUGUUGUUUCCCUUAUUGUAGAAGCUUAUUGGAUUGAGCAAAGAUCUCUUUGACCACAUAUAUCUUCAACUAAUACAAGAAAAACACAGGCUGGAGGAGGAAGGCCGAGAGAGGAAUAGCCUCCUUGAAGUGCAUCCAUAUGUAUUCAUCUAUAAUCAAACUCGGCAAGGUAGCAACAACUUUUGAGGAAAGCAAAAAUGUAUAUGGGAAAAAUUGACAGCAACAAAAUGACCCUUGUCCUAUAUUCUGCUCAUAUUCUAUGAUACCUCUAGAGCAUAGUAUUUUAAUUUCAGAGAAAAGACAUCCAUUAAUUAGCACAUUCCAUUCUAUAUAUAUAUAUAUAUAUACACACACACACUUCACAGCCAAUUAAGUGGAGAAUAAUUCCUACGUGGAAAAACUUUGUAAAUUCUUGGGUGAACUAUAAGAUAAGAUAGAGAUGAAUUAAGCUAUGGAGUAGUAACCAACUUUAGAUUUUGCAAACACCAAAUUUUUUAUUAGUAUGAUUGAACAAGUUGCAGUAAACAAAUGGUGGUAGAAUUAGUCUCCAGAGCUACACUCAACAUUGUCAUCCAACAAGCACUUGAAAGUUCCAUCCUUGAGGGUAACAAGAAACAACUAAAAGUGGAAUUUUCACAAAUCAAAAUGCAAGGCACGUUAAAGGACAAUUACAACUAAAUGUACAACAUGGAUAUGAUUAUGUUGCCGAUCCAUGGUUUUUCCCUUACCUUUUUAUUGACCUAAUACUGUGGCCGCCCCGUCGAGUUCCCUGUCCAUCCUCCACCCUCCAUUGGAAGCUGACUAUUAGGCAUAUUUAUCGGCAGAUUGAAAAAGGGAAGCCCUAAAGAUGGAUCAGAAAAUUGAUUAUUUGAGCCACCAGCACCAGCACCACUACCCCCACUGCCACCGCCACCACCGGAGGUCUGAGACGCCGCAGGUGGCUGCAUCUGAAGUGAGUGAUCAUCUUCAUCCAAAGGCAGCCUUUCAUAUGCUACGUUAGUGAAAGAAGCAGCAAUAACAAUCACAGGUCCAGAAGCAAUCAAAGCUCCCACAACAUUUCCUCCAACAACUUGACCUUGUCCACCAGCCAAAUAUAUGGUCAAACUGGUGGCACCCGGUGGAGCUGGCGGUGGAAGGAAGGAGCCCGACAAUGAUAAAAUCUCGAACCGGCCAUGUAACGUCACGACUGAGCCCGCAGCAGCCGGUUGCCUCAAGCUCACAUUGUUGACGGUGCCACUACCACUCAAUAUGCAAAUACCUCUUUGCCUUUUUCUAGCAUACGUUGCAACUGAUUCAAACACAUCACAGCCGCUGCUGACCUCUAAUAUAUGUGCCCGGAGCGUGUUGGCGCUCUCUCGGGUGAUUAUCACCGGGGGUUUAGGCUUGUUUUUGGAGCCAGGUGGCCGGCCUCUUGGCCGACGAGCCACAACAUCGCCUGAGCUUGUGUUUGAUGUGACCAGCUCUAGACCAGCUUGGUGAGAUUCAUCGUCGUUCUCGCCGGAAAAUUGGUUCCGAUUGCUGUCAUCUUCGGAGUUGGCCACUGGUCUUUGAAGCUGGAGAUCAGGCCUGUGAAGCUGAGUAACAAAGCGAGAAGCUGAGCCUAAGUCUAAACCAGCCAUACACAAGAACAAAAGAGAACAGGAAAACAAAGUACUAAUUAAGUAAAAUAAAGUAUGAUUAAAUUGGAAAAUUAUAAGUAACAAGUAUAAAAACUAAUUAGCGAUUUUUUAUGUGGCUAUUAAAGAAGAAUAAAGCACAGCAAUUCAAACCCUAGAGCGAAUAGAAAACAAAAGGAAUCGAGUGGAGAGAAAGGAAGGUAUGAAUGAAGAUGAGAGAGAGAGAGAAAGUGGCAGAUCGAUGCAGCUAUUGUCACAGCCAAAAGUAUGCAUUUGAGGAUAUAAAAUAUGUCGAAAUGUUCAUUUUUGAAUUAAGAGGCACAUUAUUUCUUAAUCCUGCUUUUUGUAAAAGGAGAAUAGUAUAAUUUAAGAUGAAGAAACUUACAAGGAGAUGAUAGGUACAUAUAAAUAAGGUCGUAUGCAGGUAAAGUUUCGUGUAUCAAUACAUAAAUAAAGAUGUAUAAAUGUGUACGAGCGUGCGCACACACUCGCGUAUCCUUGUUAUUAGUAAAAGUCUAACGACGCGCAUGCCAUUUAUUAAUUUUCCCUUUGUCAUAAUUAACUUUGUAAUGAGUAUUUUUUUUCUUUUCUUUUUCAACUUUGCAAUAACUUAGAGUAGAACACAUAGUACUAUAUGAUAAUUCCUUUAAAGCAAGAAGUUUGAUUAUUUCCCUCUUAAACAACUUUAUAGAGUUUGGUCCGGCUUCCCUAGGUAUCAUGGAUAACAUUCCUUGCAAUUGUUUGAUAUUUAUUCUUAAUUUUAGGCACUUUAUUUCGUCCUAGUGAGAUUAAAUAUAGCUUUUCUCUUAGAGAAUUAGUACAAGGACAUUUCUGGUAAGCGAUUAAAGAAUUUGUGUGUCUACCUGGCCGAUGGAAAGAUGUAUGCAAUGGAAAGUACAUGAAUCUAAAAUAUAGUAAGUAUUUUCAUCAAUUGAUUUUUCAAGAGGUGCAAAAUGCAAGUUCUUGUAGGAUGAUUUUCACAAUGCAGUAACUCUUAAAUGCCCUUUGCAUUUUGCAGUUAACAUUUUCAUCCAUUGCAACAACUCAUAGUGAAGGGUUAUGAUAUGUAAAAGUGUCUAGAAUUUUGUAUAUGAAGGCGAGCCUAUGUUUAACUUUUUUUGCUUUUACAUUUCUCUUUUUUUUUUUUUCGUUUUUUAGUGGUUUUCUAGAGAAGUAACUAGGUGUCCGCUGUAGUUCAAGAUGGCAGAGGACCUUCUUAGUUCACACCAUGAGUUAGAACAUGCAUGUUAUUUUUGCUGGAAACGAGGUCUUGGUAGUCAAAAUAAUUCCACUUGUUUUUGGCUGUUGGAGCUAGCCUUCUCCAGUUGCUACUUUGCUUUUCCUGCCUUCAAUAUUCUUACUGGGUCAGUAGGAAUAAAGUUGAGAUCUAGUGUUGGUAUGGAGAUCAUCAUGACAAUUGAGUUCAGAAUAUAGAAGAUUAUGGAUGUAAUCAAAAUGAAUGGGCGAGAAGUACAUUUCGUACAUUAUUUAGGUCAAAGAAGGCUGCCUUUCACCUUAUUAGCCUUUGGUAAGGAACAAUUGUACGCCCUUUUUUUUUUUUUUUUUUGAUACUUGUCUCUAGGAAAAGAGCAAACACCGUUGCAAAUUAUAACACAAAAUUAUUUAGUUUGAUUGAUAUGAAGUUCUGAUAAUAUUUGUACCGUGUAUUCUAGGAGUGCUACACCCUCAAACAUGUCCUCGCGCCCUCCUCCUUUCUCCUCCUCUUCCUCUUUCAGCAAAAAGAAAAAAAGUUGUGAUGGAGCGAAAAGAAUUCAUAGUACAAAAUAUUUAUUUUAAUUUUUUAAUGUAAGUGGAGGUCUCAAGUCCGACAUAUUUCACUUACAUUUCCUUCUUUGCUCAUGGUAUAAAAUACAAAUACACACUAGGUAUUAAGGGGUAGAGCCAUUUGAGGCCAUAGAAGUAAACAAUAACAAAUGCAAUUAUUGUGAAAUGAAAGGCAAGAUUCGCCAUCCCUUUUAGUCUUUUCAUAUGAUCUCCGAUUGAAAAUUUUAAUUUGAAGUAUGAAAUUUGUUCACUAAUAGAAUUAAGUCAUGCAUUGUAACUUACAUUGUCACAUCAACUUUGUAAAGAAAUGAAAAUAAUAUAUUCACUAUUUUUAUAUACGGCAUUGUUUUGUCAUUUAGGUACCAAAGCUUAUCUAUUUAUCAGUAACAAUAAACGCAGCGCAGCCAAGAAUUCCAUAUUUUUGUUUUCCUUUAAGCUACAAGCUAUCAAUAUGCUUACCUUGUACCUGAUUGGAAGAUUGAUGAGGGGAUAACUAAAAUCUUCUUAUAAUUCAUGGGGCUAAACAAAAAUUGCCAGAAAUUUUCAAUUAGGCCCCUCGAGAUUUUGUUUAUUAAUUUGUUGCUGAUUAUUUCCAUCCACAACAUUUGGUGGACUGCUGAUACAAAACAAAUAACCUAAAAACUAGAAAAGGUUAUAAUUGCAGGCACAAAAACAGAAAAGGUUAUAAUUGCAGGCACAAAAACAUUUUUUUUUAUUUAGCUGCCAACCCUCCAUGGAUAGUAUACAAAAUCUUUAAACUGUUUGGUUGGCAGGAUAUAACAUUAAUAAAGCUCUGAAUCUGGUCAAAAUUAAAUAAACAAAUAAAGCGCCGAAUUAAUAGAGUAGUUUUUCGUAAUAAAAAAUCCAUUCUACCGAAAAAGAUGGCAUUGCAGCCAAGAAAAAAAAAACAUUUUGGAAAAUGGAGGGGAGGCAGCCUAAUAUACCUAUUCGGGAAAGUGUUGACAAUUUUUAAAAAAUAGUUAGAAUUAGUGUUCAACCGUUGACGAAAAUUGUUUAUAUAUUAGUAUUACUUUGAGGCUAAGCUACGGCAGAAUAUUAUUCAGACUCCCUAAUGUAUGAAUUAGUCCUUGACAAUUGAACUACCUUAUACGAUCAUAUAUUAAGCAACUGAACUAUAGAGACAAACUAAGCAUGAAAAGUUUUUAUAUUAUUAGAGGGAACUGGUUUCAAAUUAGGUUCUUAUGUUUCAUAAAUGAAAUGUGUAUGGGAUUGGAUACUAUAGACCAUCCCAAGUAGAUGCGAGAUUUACUUUUGGAACCUAGUUUGGAGUUAAAGAAAAUGGAAGGUUAUUAAUUAAUUGAAUUUGCAAGUUAGGACAAGUCAUAGGCUAGCCAAUGAUCUUUAGUCCUUGUGUAUAAAUUGUCUGCACCCUCAAUUGGCUGAAAUGACGAGUAAAUUCCAUCAGAAAGUUCAUUGAAAUCAAUAAAAUCACCAGAGAAAGCAUCAGAUAAGUUUCAAUUGGCAUUGUCUGAAGAGUUUUGAUUAGCAUAAAAUCAAAGUCCACGGUCAAAUCCUUUCAUGGCAGACAAUGUUAGUGAAAAAGAUCAUUUUGACACUCAGGCUCUUAAUCUGAAUAUUAUAACAUCAUAUACUUAGAAUUGUCAAAUCGAGUCCUCCAAUGAAACCGCAAGCUUGAAGCAACAUUUCCAAGAAAAAGUUUGUCACACAUUAUUUUAUACAUUGUCCAUGUAAAGUUCUUUUACACGAGCAUUUGCAUAUGUAUAUUAUUUGUGUAAAAAUUAAAUUUCAAAUUUAAAAAUAAAUUUCGUGAUACACAUCCAAUACUACUCGUGUAUACACUGACAAUACAUUUAUUGGUGAAAAGAUUAGUCUGAAUGAUGCAAAUUGGUAAAUUUCCAUGGCAGUUAAAAAUAUAGCGGACCCAAAAUAUGGUAAAAACGCGGUUCCUGCUACAACAAAACAUUAAUGAACAUGAUUUGUGGGGAGAAAAUAUUAACUUAUUAUGUUAGAGUACCAGUAUCAAAACUAGCAUAUGAAUCCUAACUUCAUGAGGAAAGUAAUGUCCAACAUGUUUCAUAGUAUCUCAGGAAUAAUCUGCGGGUAGCAUUCGAGCUUACAUAUUAGUAUGGCUUCUUAACUUAGGAAAAAAAAUGUUAGACAAGAAACUGCCAUCUUAUCCAUUUUCUAUCUAUAGGGGAAAGGCCAAAAUCAUUAUGUCUAAGAAUGUUUGAGGACUUUAUGGGUCUUUUUGAUGUUUAAAGACUAUCCAGGAUCCACAACCUUUUACACAGGUUUCGAUAUAAUUUACCCUUCUAAUUUUUUGCAUAAUUACGUUAUUCCGAUUUGGAAGCAAUAACAAAAGCUAGAAAAGGACCAAAAACCCAAAAAAUAAAAAUAAAAGAAGAAGAAGAAGAAGAAGAAAAGGAAAUAUACAAAAGCAGCAGAUGGCAACAUUUCAAUCUAGACAUAGUAUUUGCCUAACGCGUUCGACAUCAUAUUUUGAGUUAUUAAAGUGAAACCGUUAACAACUUUUCUCUUUUCAUAAUUACAUGCAAUCUUAGCUGCUGAAUUUCUUUACAAAGAUCCCCAUUGAUCCAAGAGGUCCCUGGGAAGAAGUCUUGUAUGUGUGAAAUUGGGGAACCCAAAAGUUUUUGCAAAACCUGGAGUGUAGGCGGAAGCUGUGGAACGGAAUCCAUCUCCACCGUCAAUAUAUAUAAGAUUUAACUUAUUUGUAAACAUUUCUUUCGCUCUUUUCCUUUCUUGGGUAAUUAUUUCAGGUCAAUGUUGUUUAGUUUGAGUUUAUUGUACUUCCUCUUUACUUCCACACGUGCAAACCUCCAACUCCGUUGAAUUUCUUGACUUCAAUGUAGGAUUAAACUAGAUCAAUGACCCCCAAUGGACACAAGAGAUGGCCAAAGUCUUCUUUUGCCAUCCAUUGAGCUUGAAUAUUUGUGUUGCACAGGUUGUUCAUGGGUGAUUUUCCUUCAACUUAAGGUCAUAAAAGGAGGUUAUUCAGUAGCCAUCGUAGCUUUAAUUUAUAAGCGUUUUGUGUAUCACGGUCAUUAGUCAAGUCAUGACGGCUAUGGACAUGCUUUGAAUUGUUCAAACAUCCUUAGACAAAUUUGGAAAGCAUUCGAUUUCUCAAUCUGGUUAAUGAAAAUUGAAAAAGAAAUCUUUGCGUCUCAUGGGCAAACAAUUAAGAGCGAGAGAAAGAUGAGAAAAGCAGAAAGAAAAUGUAACAGAACUAGAAAGGAAAAGUAGGGAAUUCGUCUUAUACGAGAUUAUUUCCACCGCUCGGGUCCAUUCAUGAUACUCACGUCCAGCAAAUCUAAUGUCCAUAAAGCUAAAUUCUGCAACAUAUGCACAGCACUUUACGUAGGACGUCUGGAAGAACGUCUUGUCCACUCCCACAAUUCUGUUUAGAUAUGAGGUUAUUUGAAAUAUUUAUUAUAGUAUUUGUUUUAUGAUGUGAUGUAUAUAAAAUAAAAAGAUUGAUUGAAAACUAUGCUUGUGAUAUAAGUAAAUAAUUUUUUGCAAAUAAUAUGAUAUCAUAAACAAACCCACUAUCACGAAAUCAAGUGAUGCAGUGCCACCUAUUUUCUCUCACGAAAACACCGGCGGUAUUAGUAUAUAUGUAUUAAAGCUCAAAAUUAUUCCAAAUAAUACUCCAUAAUUAGGAAGAUUAACAUUUAGUUAAAAUAAAUUUAGACUUUGCGAGAUUUGAAUCUAAACUUCUACCAUAGUUUCAACCACUUAACUAAAAUGAAACGUUAUUGACAUACUUUAGCUAUGAUAAAAAUUUCUAUUCCCUCCGUCCCAAUUAUUUUGUCAUAUUUUGGAAAUCCAUUUUUUUUAAAAAUAGUGAUUUAGUGGUGAUGUCUGUACUUCUCGUUCCAAUCUUAUCUUUACAAACUUAAAAUUUGAAGUUAAAUGAUAAUAUGCAUAUGAUUAAAAGGAGAGACUAUAUUGAAGAGAAAAAGAGACUAAAAAGUGUUUUAACUUUCUCAAUACAACAAAUAUUUUAAAACAUUUUAAAAUAAAAAAUACGACACUUUCAAUAGAACGGAUGGAGCAUAAAAUGCUAUUACUAUUUCACAAAAUGAAAAGUACGAGACUUUCAAAAUUACUAUUUCGCAAAGUACAUGAAAUGUUAUUGAUUUACCUUAGCUAUGAUCAAAAUUACUAAUGUAAUCUAGGAGAUGACACUAAAAGUUAGGACAACCACGUGAGAUGUCCAAGUCAUAAGCAACCUAGUGGAUGUUGGCCACGAGACAAGCAUUAGUAACUUUGAUUAAGAGUUGGUCAAACUGAAAAGAGACGCCCGCGAAGACCGGCCUCGUGGACCAUCUUUUCUACAAAGUCCAUUCCAUCAUAUAGAUUAGACAGAUAUAAUAUCCCGUUUUGGUGCUCCUUUUCUUAACUUAUUAUUGCUGUCUUCUUUCUUGCGUUUUUGGUGACAAAAAAUGAGAUGGAAUAUAUAUUUUCUCACACUUCUUCUUGAGAAGAACCACCAUAAACAUUUCUUUCAUAACUUGAAUAUAUUGGUAAUCCUUUAAACAUGAUUAAGAAAGUCUCUAUUACAAGGAGUUAGUAAAUAAGCCAAAAAGUUUUGUUUGACAUGUAUCUAUAAGACUCCAAUAUGAAAACUUCCAUGUAUGGUGUUUCUUAUUUCCUAGUACGUUACCUUGGUGCACUUAGAGAUCAUUAUCCAUAAAUAUACUGACAUCAAAAGUUGUUAACAAAAAGGGCCAAACUUUCCUUCAAGCUGCAUGUCAGAUCAUGUGAUGAGUCCUAUUUGAUCACAUGAACCAAGUAUCAAAUCAAUCUUUUGAGGUUUUAAGUACAGAUUUCGAUCAACAUCUUGGCACAAAUUAACUUUAUCUUGAUUAAAGAGAUCCGCCAAGAACAUCUUGAAAGUGGGCUUAAAGGCAAAACCGUCUCCUAACUGCACUACCAAUUAGUAUUUUGGUAGGAAAGAUUGUGAAUUGGUUUUACAUAAAUUGAGUGGGAAUCUAGCAAAAGUAAAAAACCUAAAAAGCAUCUCAUAGUGUUCCAAUAAGAUUGAAGUUGGAUGCACCAAAAGUUAAACAAAGUAGUAUUGAAUUUGUGACAAGGAUUCCUUUUAAACAAAACAGACCCAAAAACAAAAAGCAUGAAAUGAAGCUGAGCUAAUUAUAUCGUUUGUUGUACGUACAACAUCCAUGCAUUUUGUCGACUAAAUGGGUUCUCCAAAACUGAGGACUGAAAGGAGGGUAUAUAAUGGCCACUUUCCUACUUCACAUCUUCAAAAGUAAGUACUCUAUUAUGUUACUGCUAUCUAUCUUCUGAAGGUCUGUUUUCACUAUCUCAAAGUUCUUCUGGGCAAAAUGGGGACUGAGGAGUACCAACUUAUCGAUGUCACGAAGACACCAACUCAUGUCCCUUUGUUUUUGGGUGGAUCUGGCCGUCUGCAUGGUUGGUAAGGAAUUGCAGUUCAGAAAUUGGCAGGAGUUGGUGGAAGUGGAGUACUGUCGAUCGAGUUUGCCUGAAUUAGAGGAAGAUAGAUGAAGAUAAAGCUGCUGGACCAGUCUCAGUUUCUCAGUUCUCAAGAAUCAAAUUAUGCUACUAAUUAAACAACAUAUUUCCCACCACCCCUUUAUCCCCCAGAAUUUUCGGGCACCAGGCCCUAUGCCCCUAUGACAAGUGGUGGUGGGGAAAUGGUCAUCAGAAUCCAAGGGGUGGCAAGUGACACCUGACAAGAAGCCAGAUCACUAUUCAUUAACUUCAAACCCCAUUGGAAACAAAAAUUUUAGUGUAAUGACAGACUGAAAUGCAUUUGGUAAUGAGCUGAGUUGAAUCUAAUCCAAUCAGCAGAGAGUUAGGAGUGAUUAAAAGAAGAUCUCUACCAGUCGUUUCUUCGCAUCAUCCCUGUCCGUGUCAUAUUUCAGCAUCAUCAGCACUACUCUCUGGCUGGGGUGGCACCAGUUUCUAUAUUCUCUGUGCUUUUUCCAUGUGCCAAAUUUGUAGUGGUAUAGAGUAUUUCAGUUUAUAUUUAUAUCAAACCCUUUUCACUUAGAAAUCCUUUAGUAUAUCACGUUGUAUAUUAGUGAAAUUCUUCAUAUAGAACUCUUUUUCUUUUUUUUUUUUGAAAAAUUUAUAUAGAACUCAUAUCAUACACCAAAAGGUCUAGUAAUGGUAUAAAUUCAACUUUUACAUGAAAUAAAGAAGUAUAUGCAAUCUGUAAAAAGAAAUUACCAUAUCGAUUUGAUGUAGAUGAAUCUGAGAAAUUUGUGUAUAAUAAGGUUCAAUUUGAACUUGCACUCAGGGAUUGAAUUACCUAAAUCAUCAUACAAGCUAGACAAAGUUUUUAGGACUUGUUCUCAUUUGCUAUAGAUUUUUGUAAAAGGUGACUAGAGAAAGUUGUCAUGCAAAAUAUUCAAAAUCGGCUGAAGUUACUCUUGGUUAAAUUCUAGAUUAUAAAUUUUUUACCGUUAAAAAUUGUAAGUAUCUAAAUAUGAAAAUAUAUCAUAACAUAAAAAAGAAUUAAUUAUUUAAAAUCAAAAUCUAAAAUCAAGUAAAAAAUCAAACAAGAAGAAGCCCUAGGUUUCUCGCACAGACAUCAAAGUUUCGUACACGAACUUAAAUGCCUCGCUUUCCCGAAGAGCUCUCUCUUAUAUUUAUAUAUAUAUAUAUAUAUAUACUUAUUUAUUUAUUUAAAUAUAUUUAUUUAUUUAUUUAUUUGGAAAGACAAUAAGUACUCCUUUUCUUUUUCACUAUAUAUAUCUCCUCCCUACAUAUAUCAAUAUACAGAAGGCCACAUGCAUACACACAUACAUGGUAUAUUUACAUGUACAUACUAUUGGCAAAGGUGCAAGCAAGUACUUUAUGAAUCAACUACAAAACUGGUAUACCUAAUUAGUUUACUCAACUUAACUUCUUUUUUUUUUUUUCCCUAAGUGUCUCUAAAGACUCAUUCAUUAAAUCGCCAUGCUAUUGAAGCAUUGAUCCACUCCUUUUGAAAUUUGAUAAUGAGUUAGAGCAAAUGAGACCAAUCCCAUCUGUUUCAUCUCCCAUUUGCAAAAUUCAGCUCCCCGAUGAAGGCUAAUGACUCGAGGUGGGGGUUUGUCGCCUUUCAGCAUUAUUCUUAAAUUAAUUAGCAACUUUUCUUGGUCAUCUCAACAACAGAGCCACUAUCCACCAAUAAAACUGCGUCUACGGACUCACAAAGGUGAUUAACUUCCCCCUAAUCUAUGCUUAAAUCCGAGGUCCCCACCAUGUUUGCUACCUAAACAUUUUUUUAAUGUGUAUUAGUCUUUAUUGAAAGAUUGGGCAGUAGACAUAUUGGUUCCACCAAACUCUUAGGCUGAUUUCAGGCAAGUCCAAGGUUUUGUCUAUGUGAAAGCAAUGAUAACAACCAGCUGGCUGUGGACCUUCAUUUUCAUAUUAUAGAGCAAUAGUGGGUCUUUUUUAAAAAAAAAAAAAUUAGAAGGGGAUAGAUAGUGCUGAUUCCAGAAAAUUGAUCAACGAGAAUAAUAGGGUUUUUGACAACCCAAUAAACACAGUAAUAAAGUAAAUAAAAUAAAUAGAAAGACACAAAAUUUUAAGUGAUUCAUUUUAUGUCCACAGGCAAAGGGGUAGCGGAUUUAUUAUAACAAAAAGAGAAAGGCUAGACAAUUUACUAUAACAAAAAAAGAGUAUUGACCUAUAUCUACAGGCGAAGGGAUAGCAAAUUUACUAUAACAAAAAUUCCACAAGUUACUAUCACAAAAACUCACGAUUGAAGGGGUAGCACAUUUAUUAUAAGAAUACGAAAGAGAGAGUACAAAACCCUUGGAAAAAAUUUUGAGGUUCAAAAGCACGUAAAACUGAAAACACAAAAGAGUCUAAAUAACACAAAAUCUUAACGGUCCAAAGGCCACAACUUGCUCUUUUGAUUUCCUGCCUAACCAAAACUCCUUUCAAAUUGGGGCGUGGUCAAACUCUUUUAGACUGGUGUAUACGGCACUUGAAUUGGUGCUUUAGCACACUUAAACUCAAGUAAAUCCACUAUAUUUAUAACCACCAAGAGUAAAGAUUCUUUGUAAAACUUCUGAUGUAGGAUACAAAGACAGACUCAACACAUAGGAUUUGAGAGACUGGAAGGGAGUAGGGGAUGAGAAUCCGGACAUCUAAUUCUUGAAAUUUCAAUUUUAAUCAUUAGACUAAAACCUCACUGGCUAAAGCAAUAGUGGGUCUCUAUGGCAUACAUAUAUAUAUAUAUAUAUAUAUAUAUAUAUAUAUAUAUAUAUAUAUAUAUAUAUAUAUAUAUAUAUAUAUAUGUAUGCAUGUAUUAAUUAAUAACAAAAGAAUAGAUGAUUAAUGGAGAAAUAAUGAGAUUUAACAUAAUCAAUCUUGUCCAAGAUUAAAAUAGCUCGAUAAAGUUUGCACGAACAAUUUAACAGAUGCGUGGAUUAUAUUUAGUUGCAUAGAUGAAGUAAGAGGUGGAGAAUGCACUGUUGGCGUGUGCUAGCACCUUAAUCAUUAAAUAAACAAAGAUGCGACAUAUAAUAAAACAUAGGGAUUCCUUGCAAUUUUAUAAUGAGUACCAUUUGGAUAAAAUUUUGCUUUAUCAUUUGGUUGAGAAGGAUUGAUAUGAUUGUACAGCAUAGUGCUUAAAUUAUGAUUCUUCCCAUAAUCAUUUGUUGAUGAGCACAUAUUAAAGUGUUUACCUUAACUAUGUUUUUAUCAUUAUUAUGGUUGUGAAUUGUUUACUUAGAUCUUCCAACAACAAAGAGUAAAUUUUGAUAUCUUAGUUGCUAGGAACAAGAGUUACGUACUUAAAAUAGAAUAUAUGGCACCAAAGCCUAAAUGUUAAAGUAUUAAUAAAUAACAAACAAUUCUUCAAAAACUUUUCGCAUUGUUAGUACGAUGUAGAAAUUUUAAACAAGAAAAUUGUUAAUUUAAGUAUCAUUCUUGGGUCAAGUAUUAAAAAUGGCAUAGCUUCCAAAAAAGAUGUUAACCAAAAGAAAUAUGAUCUCAAGGUUAAAUGGUAUAUAUUAUUAAUUACUGCCCCUAUGAAGCACGAGGAUUACUAUUUUUUCAUUAUCUCAUUUCAGUCACAAUUGACAUGUCCCUUUUCUUUUAUCAUUACACAUUGCAAGAAGGUUAACAUCGUGAUUUGAACAUAAGUAUACUACUAGUGACUUGUUAGUGGUAACUUUUACAAAGUAGAUUAUCAAUGUCAAGUAGUCCUAUUGAUUUUUAUAAGCUUGGAAAUGGAUUUGGGACAUCACUAGCUAAUUACGUGAUCAGUUAUUAAAUUUAACCACAUUGAUAUUUCUUGCCUACUGGAGUAUUUUGGUAAUGCAGCUUCCAAAUUUCACUGUUGAAUUUGAUGGCCAAGUUAAAGUGUAUCAUCAUAAGGUUCCAAAGCAAUAAGCAACAUACCAUAUUAAGACUUUGGGUGCGUUUGAUAAAAUUGAAGUGUAAAAACUGAAAUUUAAAUCCAUUAAAUAAUUGAAUUGUUAAGUAUUAAAUCUAAUAUAUUUGGUUGCAUAUUACAUUUAGUGAUAAGUGAAUAUCUUAUCACUCAAUUUUGGGAGCAAGUUUUGUCUAGGAAAUUCAGAUGUUUAAUUUUUGGUUAUUAAAUAGUAUGAAUAUAUUAUAUCUGAAUCUAUUAAAUUUAAGUGCUGAAUUGAGUUAUUAAACAGGGCUUUUGUUUUCAAAGGUUUUUUUUUCCCUGUUUAAGGUAGCAAUUUGUGUUUUCUACAAAGCAAAACAUUUUUUCUUUUGAAGUUUCUACAACUAUUUGACGGAGGAUCCAUUUACCAAUCAAAUUGAUGAUAGUGAAAUCUACUAAAUUAUGGACAUCCUGAUCUAGAGGUUAAGGUUGAGUUUCAGGAGUCAAAGGUUCCAACUUCUUAAUUCCCAAUCUUCCACUGUUUAGAAAAAAAAUACUUUAAAAAAAAAAGAAGCCUACUAAAUCGAACUAUCUUUUGGGCUGGAUCUAGGACGAAAUUUGGCUCCACAGCGUAGAAAAAAAUUUAAUUAUCCCAAAAAAAUGAAACGAUUUUAAGUUUUUAAGUUUCUCUUCUUCUUGUAAAACACAAAAGGAUGAAACGUGGUUUUCUUAACUGUUAUUGAUGCCAAAAUGCAGCUCCGGGUGGCCCAAAUCAUAGGUUCAUCAACAAGCGCGCAAGUCACAUCAUUGUGGUAGCUUUUUGAACCCAUUAAAUUCAACAAUUGGCCCAUAAAUUGGGUAUUCGAUUAGACAGAAGGGCCCAUAAAACAUAGUUUCAGCCUGUUACCUACACCACAAAUUUCAUCCAAUUGUAUAUAAAUGGGCUUCGCUACGUAGGGGUGUAAACGAGGUUAAUCAAAAUAAAUACCCUAAUAUUCAAACUUGUUCUAUUAUUUUAAUGAAUUUAAAAUUUUGUUCAAGAUUUAUUUGUUUAUUUACCGAAUUUAGUUUGAAUGAGUGUUUUUUUUAUUAAAUUUGAAUGUUAUCGAAUAUAAAAUGUUAUUCAUUCUUGAUUUGACUAGUUGAUGAGUCAAAUUUGAACGGAUUCUUACCAAGUCGAACUCGAUUUGAAUAUCAAAUAAUUAGUUCAUCUUUCAGUCCUAUGGCUAACAAGUGUUUAAUGAGUGCUAAAAAGACUUUAAGUGUUAAAUUUUACGUGAAAAAAGUUAAUUUGAAAAAGCGUCUAGUAUGUGUGUGUCUAUAUAUAUAUAUAUAUAUAUUAUGUGGAAUUUAUGUGCAAUAAUGAGGAUAUCAUUAGAAAAAUCUAACUUUUUAUAGCUAUUAUUUGGUCAACAUACAUGACCUCAAAUUCUCACUGGUAGACCAUAAUAACUGGCUAAAAUCACGUACUCUAAGUUAUAUUUCAUCUACUUCAAAAUGUAGAGUAUCAUAAAGAUUUAGGCAAUUAAUAGGCAAUCAUGACUUUAAGUUGAUCAUCAUGAUUCAUACUUUUCUGCUAAUUGGGUUGUGCGCCUGCGUUGCACGAAUUUGUCAAGAAGAUUGUGAUAAUAAUAACACUACUAGUUAUGAACAUAAUCCAGCAAUAAUUUUCUUCCCCAGGUCUCUUCUCUUGUUUAGAAAUCAAUUGCUCAGGAAAGCUUAUAUUUAUCUUGUUGCGCUUAGUUUCAAAAUUCUUUAAAUUCUUAUAUAUUCAAGUUGUGAUUUUUACUUUUCAAAUACAAUAGUCAAUUUUUUAAAACAAAAAUUUGCAAGGCCAAUAUGCCAGUAAAUGGAAAUUUCACAAAAUUUAUUGGUGCAAAUAUGAGACAUAUUGAAAUUAUUAAAAAAAAAAACUCGUAAGCCUAAUUUUUUUAAUGGAUUAAUGCAUGUAUGACAUAUAAUUCGAAUUUAAAUUUGAAAUCCAAAAUUUGCAUGUAUGUCAUGAAUUUAAUCGUGAUAAUAUGUAUACUGUGAAAGUGUAUAUAAGAUUUACUCAUUUUCAGUUCUGCUAAAAAACUUAUGGGCUACCUAAAAUCAAGAGCUUAUGCCUCGAAUCUAUACUACCAUCCAGGAUAAAAUAGGACAGAAGGAGAACAUAAAUGGGAACAUAAAUAAAUGAAAUAAAAAGAUAAAGUCUUGCCUCUCCAUUCCAUUAGGGCAGAUGACCCUAGUUUUUUGUGUAACAUUGAUCUUUCCUGAAUGAAUCAUCUAAGCCAGUAAUUGACAGGAAAAAAGUUCUGAUCGAAUCGGAUUGAACAUUAAUCCUUGAUAGAUGUAUGUAGAAGAGAAUUCUUACAAACAUAUACUAUAUGCAACAAUGGAGAACUGCCAGUAUCUAUACCCAUUGCGCUGGAAAAACACGGGCUACAAUCACAGUAAUAUCAUCAUUCUUGCCUCCAAUCCACCCAAUUUUUCCAGCCUUUUCACUCUCAACUGCAAAAGGAGUAACAGCCAAAUUGUUCUCAGCCUGUUGAAGAGCGAAAUCUGCUAUCUUGCAAGCCAAAAUCUCUGAACUGUCGAAAUUUCUCUCUCCUUCCCUGACCAACUGCUCAAGUUCUUCAUUAUGCACGUUAUCAAACAAUCCAUCCGUCCCUGCAACGAUUAUGUCUCCAGGAACGACAUCCCUUUUGAUCUCCUCAGCUACAUCCAGAUCAUUCCUCUCCUUUCCUAGCUGGUAGGGACAAUUAAACUCAUGCUGCUGAAUUCGCGACCGGUAAAUAAUUCGUCCAUUCCUGAUAUGGACAAAUCCACUGUCUCCAACAUUCACAGCGUGCAAACAAUCAUUAUGCAAGGCCAGGAUGCAAGCCGUGGAUGACCCUUUUGCUUUAGCUUUCGCGACAGCUUGAUGUAAAGCCCUUUUAGGAUCAACCGGACCAACCUGACUUUGUUGUUCGAUGUAUUUAACGGUGUUCUUCAUUAGUUCUCUUGAAUAUUCUCCAGAAUCGAUGCCUUUCUUGGACCAUCCACCAACCCCAUCAGCCACCCCAAGAGCCUGCAACUUUGGCAGUAUGAAGUGAUCAUCUUGGCCUUGGGGCUUCUCUGGAUCAUCUUUGGGUAUGUACAUUGAUCCGGCUACAAACUUUAACGUGCCGGAACAAAGUUUUUCAUUUUGGAAAGCCGUCCCGCCUGACAUCUUCCUUUGUACCCUAGCCAUCAUGAUGCCGUGAGCUAUGAAGUAGAGGGAAUAAAGAAAGCGAAUCAAGUAGAUCAAAGAAAAUAAAUCAAGGACAAUCAACCAAACAAAUAUCCUGUAUUUAUAUCUCCUAAUUAUACAAGGACUUUGGUUUACCCCAGCUUGUAGAAGAAAAUAUUCUUUUUCCAAAAUUCCUAACGUAGCCAGGAAAAGGAAAUAACCCCUAAGUUAUCCAAGUAUUAACUAUUAACAUUCAUUUUAUCGUUUUCGGGACACCUAACACAGAAAAAAGAAGGUGAACCAUUAUCAGACCUUUAAAAAUAUAAAAUAAUAGCAACACUUAUUUCGAAAAGAAUUUACUCAUUGCAUAUAAAAUAACACCGGACUCAUUUCUUAUUUGCUUUUCGAAGGACACUAAAUAGCCAAACCCCUUGUUUUAAUUCAUUUACAAGAGUCUUUUGGUAUGAGAGUUUCCUAUAGUGUAAGGAUAUUGCUUUCUGAAGUUCUAGGAGUCAAGAAGACAGAAAUGGUUAAUUAUGGCAUGCAGCAUAAAAGAAUACUAGCAACUUUCAUUUGUUUCAUGCGAAAAUCCACAUUCCAGAUGAUUAAGCCUACGUUUGAUUCUGUAUUUUCUUUAGGAUCAAUUUUAUAUACACGACAAAUAUAAAAAAGUUUACUUAGAUCCUUGUCUCAUGUUGCAAUAAGAACUCAUACAAGUAAAUAUUUGUUCACGUUGGAUCAUCUUAUAUUCAGUUGCGUGUAUACAUCUCCUCACAAUCAACACAGUAACAUAAACCCUAAGGGUUAAAUUUACAUUCCUAUUUAUUUUACCGAAUUCAAUCCUAAUUCAACACAAAAACGUUUCAGAUCAAAGUGGAAUAAUUAAUGCUUUUCCACACAAACACAGACAAAAAUCAUCCUCCGGUUAGCUUAGUGGCUGAUGAAUGUCAGCAACAACCACAGUUAAUUAUAUCACCAAUCUUGCCGCCAGUACGCCCAGCGUUUCCAGCCUUUUGGCUUUCCACUGCAAAAGGAGUAAUUGCCGAUUUACUUAAAAGACUUCCCUAAAGCAAACUCAGCAAUUUUCAUGGCCAAAAGACUCGGCAAGUCAUGAUCUUGCUUCCCUUUUCUCACCAGCUCUUCAAGUUCUCCAUCAUGCACGUUAUCAAACAAUCCAUCUGUUCCUGCAACAAUAACAUCUUCUGGUUCCACAUCCCUCUUAAUCUCCUCAGCUAAGCGUAUAUCAUACAACCCGCUUCCUAAUUGAUACGGAACAUUAAAUCUAUGCUGCUGCACGGGCGAUUUGUAGGAGAUUUUUCCACCUCUUAAUGUGAACAAAUCCGCUGUCUCCCACAUUUAUCGCCUGCAAUUUGUUACAACACUAGCUGUAGAUGUACCUUUGGCAUUGGUUUUGUAGAAAGCUUCGUUCAAAGCCUUUCUUGGAUUAAUGGGGUGCUUUUGGUUCAUGAUGGCAAAAAUUGUGCUAGGCAUUAGUUUUCUUGAAUAUUCUUCACCGGAAUCAAUACCCUUUCCAGCCCAACUCCCGACCCCAUCAGCAACUCCAAAAGUCUGCCGUCUUGGCAAAACAAAGUUAGCAUCUUCUCCUUGAGCCCGUAAUGGAUUAUCCCUCGGUAUGUAGAAGGAUCCACUGGACAUGAUGGUGUUGCCAUCAGUUGAAUUCUUGCUCCUUCCGCUGAAAAACUUCUUCCAAAACGACGGGGAACCUUUCUUCUUGGGGUAGCCCUUCCAAUGGUUUAGGGUUAUUGAUAAACAUCUUCUUGAUCAAGUACAAAAAACACAAAGUUGGAGAAAUUAACAAGUGUGAAUAAACAAUCUAAAAAAAAAAAAACUGAUGGACCUUUGUUGGUCGGGGUACUGAAAUUGUAAGCAAAUCCUAGUCCCUUUUGAAUAAGAGUGAAGAAUAUACAUAAAUGAUCCGUAAAAAGAAUUUUGGCUACUUCUACAGCAAAUCUCAGUCCUCACUGACAAAAGAAUUUUCGAUACUUCUAAAAAUAUAAACUAUCUGCAACUGUGUGUUUGGAUGGGGGAAUUUGGAUGGAUUUGAUUUCAAUUCAAUCCCUUCGCUCAAAUCUCUUGGCUGUUUGGAUAACCUUAAAAGGAUUUGGAUUUGAAAUUCAUCGAAAUUUUUGUAGCUCAAAGCGAUGGAAUUCACUCAAAACACACGUCAUUUCAAAUUCCUCCGAACAACUUUUUUUUUAUCUCUUUCUGAAAAUGUUUCAUUUUUUCGAAGCGUGAACCGAAGAAUGGAUCAAAACUACCUGUUGGUGUUCGUAGCAUCCGGUUGAGAAAAAAGAAAACCCAGUUUAUGUAAAUCUGUGCACCGGAAGAAGGAGCAGUUGGCCGGUGAAUUAAUCGGAAAAUAGUUACAGAAACCGAAGUGAUGCCUCUAUAGCAUAGCAUUAUGGCUUCAAACCUUCGAUUGGAGAAGAAAACGAAGAAUGGAAAAUUCAACUUCAACCCCUAAACAUUUUUAUUGUUUAGUUUUUGCCCCAUGUUAAUAUCAAAUGUCAAUUUCUUUCAUCAUAUAACAACCUUUAGCGAAACAUAAUAAUGUAUUUGGACUAGACAUGAAUUUUAAAUUUACUCAUUUCAAAUGCUGCAUCGAUAUCAAAGUCCUCAUUGAAUUCAAAUCCCUCAAUCUUAAGUCAUGAAGUCUUCUGAAAAUUGUGUUGCUAAGUGGCAUUCCAUUACUUAAAGAGAACAUUUCCAAUUCAUUCUAUAAAUAUAUUUAUAAAUUUUUCUUUUUUAGAAAAAAAAAUAUUAUAUGACCAAAGUAGCUUUUCAGAAUGAUCAUAAAUUAACUCUUAUCUAAACUUUUAGAUAACGCAAAAUGAUCAUUACAUUUGUAUUAUUUCCACCUUCAGCGUUAUCUAAACUUACAUAUGCAAUGAAAUCACAAAUACAUGAAACUAUCAUAUUUUACAGUAGUCCCACAUCUUGGCAACAGAUAUUCAAUAUGCAACUUUGUACUAAAUAAUGUUUGGCGCUGUGUCUGAUGCAAAAAAGGAAAGGAAAAUGCAAAAGAGCAAGUAAAUGUAAAUAUCUUUAGUAUGAAAAAGAAAAGAAAUAGAAGCAAAAAAAAAAGAAAAAGAAAAGUAGACAUAGAAAUCUUAGACGUAAAAACAGUAAAAAGCCAGAGUAUGAUGGAAUUCUAGUCAAGGAAUGUUAUUAAAUGGGGGUAAAGUCAGAAAGUUGAGGGGAGCAAAGUACAACUUUCUCCAAAGUUCGUGGAGGUCUAAUGCAAUUUAAUUACACUUUUGCGUUUUCAACGCUACUUUUACAGUUGCAUAGGGUUUUGGUAAACUGCAAACAAACUCUUUCAGAUUCAACCUCAAAUAUUCUUAUUCGGGUCAAAAAAUUGUGUCACCCUGGAUUCUACAAAUGGUUAUUAAAGAAGGGGAUAGACUGCUUGGACUUGGACAUUGGUUGAAACCUGAAAGAACUCCUCCACUUGUUCGGGUCCUAUUCUCAUGUUCUGAGUGGGUAUGUUCAAUCUUUAUCAUUUUCAGAAGAUAGAAAACAAAGCUCUCCAACUCAAAAGACUCCACAACGAUGGCUAUAUUCAUCCCCAGGAAUGACCUGACAAAAAUGUAAUAUCACAACCAUUCUUGAGGGAGACCCAAAUUUAAGUACGUACCUUCAAUGUACCUUCUGAUGAAGACAAAUGUGAUAGAAGAAAUCAUUAGCAAAAGAGGCAUUACUGAUCUUGCCUUGCCAAAUGAUUAAAUUGGAGAUCUAGCCAGUAAACCAGUUAAUGAAUCUAUCUCUGAGAAACCUUGCGCUUCUUGGCUACUUAGUAUCAUGAUGUUUACAAGACUAGGGUAACCCACCAGCCUGCCAACUUUGUUCCUGACAACCGGUGCCACAGUUGACAAAGAACCAAGAAGGCUGUCCUAGGAUCGAUGAAACUGAGACUAUCUUGAGAAAUCUUGUGCUUCUUGACUACAUUAUUCCCAUGAUGCUCAGAAGACCAGAUGAACCGACUAACCUGCAAACCUUAUUCCAGAAAACUGGUGCUAGAGUUGACAAACAAGGCUGUCCUACACUUGACAAAUGAGAUUUCAUGUGCAAGCGGAAAAAGGAAUGGUGACAUUGUUUUCGCCUCAGCUUUACGCGGUGCUCCUCCAGAAAUGUAUCAUCUGGAGGGAAUAGGAGGAACAUGUAUAUUUAACUUCACAGUUCUCGGUGUUUCACGCAAUAAUGUGAUCAAUGAACAGGAAAGGGCACAGGAAGUUGAUAUGAAUAUGAUGGUGAACUUUCAGUUUUAGAAACUUCUUGAAACUUUUCUUAUCUGAUGUCUCUUGAAUGAGCUUUAGAUUUAACUAAUCUUAAACAAAAAAGAUUUUUGAAUAUGUGUAUCGACAACUUUUCCCUAAUUGAAUCAUCCAUAAGAAAAACUUGAAUUUCUGAUUCUCAAGCAGUUUAUGUUCAAUUCAUUCUACAAAAACACUAGCUAGAAAGGAAGUUAGAAAAGUAUUGACUAACAAAGUUCUCUGACUCCAUCUGUAUCCUUUUAGCUAGGCAGUCUUAAUUGUGAUGACCCAAUAUCCCAACCAUCUUCCAUUGAAUCAAAACUUCAAUUUCCUUGAGGUCUCAUAUGCGAUAACAAUCAUGGAAUUCUGAAAUGAGGCUUAGAUUUUAACUAACCUAUAUGAUAAAGUUUUCCGAAAAUGCAUCUUGGUAUGUCUGUCUCAAUAUUUUAAUCAUUCAUAAAAUCUCUUGUUUCUAAUUAUCUGAAAAAUCUUGCUUUUCAGGCUUAACCAAAAAAAAAUUCAAAUACAUGUAGAUAUUUCUAGUAUUAACACUGUCAGGUAAUAGCUGGCUAUACUUGUAAUACGCCAUCCCUUUUCUUUUUCUUUUUCUUUUCCUGAAAGUGUAAUACUGACAUUCUACGUUUUGAGGACUAUAGAUUAGUUUUGAUAGAGAGAUCUCCACUUUAAUUUUCCCAAUACAACUCAAAAUGUAGAUCAGAGGUUAAACAAUAGGGAGCAGAGAAUUUUUUUUUUUCCAGGAAUUGAUGAUACAAUGAACGUUAGUGUUCUUUCAUAGGUUUAGAGUUCUUUCCCAUGCUUUAUAAGUACAGAAACAAAUACACUAGUGUUAUCUGAGAAUGACUAAACAACAGUAAGGGAAUACCUGCUAUACACGAUUUAUGUAUCUUGUCACCCACCUGGAGAUGACGUGAGAGAAGAAAUAGACACCCAAACAACAUUUCAAAGUUUCUGAAAUUAAACUGCAUCAUCAGAUCUUCUGAUUAUUUUGUUCAUAGUGAGGCAAGCAGACAGGGUCCAGAAGAUAUAAUGGAUAAGGUUUUUACAAGAGAGGAUAAGGAAGUCAAGGCCACAUUCAGCAAUUCUUGUGAGCAACCUGGUUUCACAACUUUUUCCACCUGUGACAAGAAAACUUGCUAGACUAAGAUUCAGAUAUGAUAGCAAAGACGUAAAACAUAAUUUGCUUCAAGCCUUCCACAGAAUUCAAUAUGGAUUGAUAUGAUUCCUAGUUCUGAAUUAAGAUCAUCUUGACCCUACUUUCUUGUUCAUUCCAUCAUCAUAAAUGACCAAAAGUCUGUUGUGACCGGAAUUGGAGGAUAUAGUUGGAUAUUAAUGCACAUAAAACUGCACCUUUGUAAACAUGGCAUUCAUUUGAGAGGAGCAGAUCACCGCAGAAUUACAAGGAUUGGGUGAAUACUCCACAUACUGAAUGGAAAAAUUAAGACCCUUACUGGAAUACAGUAUUCAUACCGUGUCCAGAUAAAACUGCAACUCCUUUAUCUUCCCAAUGCAUUCCUGAUCAUGAAAAUUCAAAUGAUGCUCAUCUGACUGGAGACCUUCGUCAUCCACCAAAAAAUCAUCUUUCAAGACAUUCUCAUGAACUGCCUUCCACAUACUGUAUCCAACACCAAAGAAUAUAGUGUGCAGUCGAUGCGCAGUAUGAAUAUAAAUGAUUCAACUCAGUACACCAGAUACCUAAGGAACAUAAACUUUGGCUUUAGAAAAAACAAGAGGAACAGUGAUGGCGAAUUCAAGUCAAGCAACUCUUCUUUUUGCGUUUGAAGCAUGCAUACGUAGAACAAUUGAGCCUUGGGCUAUAUAGUGAAGGAGGGUGGUGAAUGUCUAAGCCAAAUAAGCAGAUAAACAGAACCAAAUUAGAACUAGAUUUUGAUUAUUAUGAGGAUCGACCGAAUGAAACCGGAGACUAUUGCUACUUCAAUCAUCUCAAUGUCACUUUGUAAAAGAUGAUUUUUAGCAUGGGUUAUGCUAGAGCCAGUAGCUCAUGUCGUAUACAAUCCUUGAUCGGGAUUGUACAGUGUCUCUAUGUGAGAAAACUGAUGAGUGCAAAUUUUAGUCUUUCACAGACCUAUCUUUACGCCUGUUAAUUGCUCAUAACACUAGCUAAGAGUCCAUUUCAUAUGCACGGUGCAUUUAACAAACACCUUACACUUACUUUUUCUUUUUCUCAACAAAUAAUCAGAAUUGCUUCACCCAAGAUUUUCAUUAAAAGAUAUCACAAAAUUUCUCUAACAAGUCAUGAAAGAAAAUUUGCAAUUGAAUGAAUCUUUUAUGUUACCAAACAAGCUUCCAUUUUACAUCAAUAAAACACCACAAAAUAAACAAUUAAUUGAAGAUGCAUAAAUUUUUUCUAUUCAGAAAUCAAAGCUUCUUUAUGGCUUCUCUCAUCUUGUUUAGAUACUAGAGAAGACAGAUCUAAACUUCAGUACAAUUUCCAUGGCACAAACUAAAAUCACAGUGAGAUACAAAGCAGAUAAUUUAUAAGUAACCAGGACAAAACUAACUUGCGUCUAACAUGAACAGCAGUAAGUAAUUUGCCACAAUUAAGCUUAUGGACACAAAGAAAGGAAAAGAAAUCCCUUUCCAGAAAUUAACAUAUGGAACUAAAGAACACUUUGAAGUGUAGAAAAUAUUUGUAAUUUUCAAUUAAUUGCAUAACUAAUAUAAACCACCACUUAGGACUUCCAAAAUGAAAUAUUCAUGAAUGCAUAGGGCACAACAGAGAUCUAGUUUAUCACCAAUCAUCACACCAUCAAGUUUUCUUCUGCAGACAUUGCCUUUUCCUGAUUAGGUCUACAAGCUGUGAAAGCACAAAUGCAAAAUGUUUCCUGGUACACAUAACUAACAUAUCUAUUGACAAGACAAAUAUAUAACCGAGGACCCUUAUACGUUCAUUGAAGUGAACCAAACCGGCUGUGAAGCUGUUUCCUCUACAGCUACAAUUUGCUAGCCAAGAGUAUAAAACAACCAAAAAAUUUAAUACUUGAAACAAAAAAGGAGGAAAAAUUUUUUUUUGGGGAUUUGUGUUGGGGGGGUGGUUAACACUGAAAAUUAACUGCAUGAAAAAUUUUAAAAAUCCCAAAAAAUAAAAAGAUAAUCAAGAGAAUGAAACAUUUUAUAUGCCGUGCUCAUCGAGAGCUCAGAUGGCACAGAGGAGGUAAAAGUGUUGAAGCACAACACACAAGGAGUGCUCGGUUUUGUUUGAAGUGCAUCUCCCAAUUCAUAAUGCAAUGAAAGCAAAUGGAAAUUGAAUAUAAUACAAACAUUUUUUCCUUUUCCCAACUAAACACUAGCAUUUUAAGAUAUUUCCAACAUUAUAGUUCCAAACAGAUUUAUGUAGUCUACUUGACCUCUAUAUCUGAAACGACCGAAUCAUGGUCUAUCAAGCUAAGAUAAGCAAAACCCAGUUGGAAAAUUGAUCAUUUGCCGACAACAAAAGAUAACAACCACAAAAACCUCAACUUUCAAGAUACCAGAAAAAGAAUUUCCUACCCACGGACAGCAAAAGAUCAACAGAAUCUUGUAUGAAGGUUUCAAUCACAUGAUUAUGUAAUUAAUGUGAAUCUAUUUAAAUUCUCCCAGCUAAUGUUACAGAAACCAUGCCCAAGAUUCAUAGAAUCUCCCAUUCAUGUCAAGGUGAAAUUCAUGUAUAGCAGAACAGAAUCUUCAAAGAUAAACAAAUACUAGUGGUAGCAGCGGGGAUAACAGAAGAAGACUAAAAAAAACUAGCAGACAAGGUCACCUGAUUCUUCAGGACCUGGAAAUCUAGCUAAAUCUUCAGUCGACAGACGAUGCAAGAGGGAGAUUCCAGAUUCCCGAGCUUGGUAUUUUCAAGUCUUCCUCUUUCCCCCUUUUUUCUACAUUAUUUUUUGGGAUUGAUGCACCUAUAUUUCAAUAUGCACCUUGCUUUGCCCACUGUUACACUUAUGUCCUCUCAAGUCUCAAUCUCAUUUUUGCUAUUUUGUAGGUAAAAUUACAAUUUUGGUCGUUGGAUAUCUAUCUCUCGAUUUGGUGCAUGUCAUCCUUACACAGGGCCAUGCUCAUCUUCUUUGUAUCAUUCCAAUUUGUAUUGUUCCAAUUUUAUCGGAUAUGUACCUUGUAUCCCUUUGUUUAGUUUUAUUUUUUAUAGAUAAAAAGUUUGAGUGAAUUAAUUCCAGCCAACGCCAUCGAUUAGAGUAUGUUUUCGAGACUGUAGGUGGUUUAUAUCGUUCACCAAUACAACUCUCACAUUAACAAUAAAAUUUAAACACUUAUUGGUUAUUUGUUGGAGUUAUAAUUAACUCUUAUGUCAAUUGCAAUGAAAUAAUGAUCUUUUACGGCUUCCUUAAAAUUAUUUCCGAUUAGAAAUGCUUGAUAAUCUCAAAAUUGGUUAGAAAUUUUUUUGUAUAAAUUUAACGAAAUAUAGAAAAUGCUCCGUUAAACAAAUUGUAAAUAUUGGAAUUGUAAUUAGUAAUGUGCAAAAACCAAAGGUGAUUAAUGAUUGGUACGACUUGCAACUAUAAAAAAAAAAAAACAAUUGUAGAUUGCAAAGACAUUGGAAAAUAAGUGCAAAAAUGAAUAGGAUAAAGCCAUGGACGCUUGAACGGGACUUAUGAACAGUGCAAGUCAUUGACAUGAAUUUUGGGUAUUAAUAAUUGUUUAUUGUUUUACAUAAUUGUGUUUGGAUAGAGUUUUAUUUGAAAUAUUUGAAAUAAUUACUAUAGUAUCUUUUGUGAUGUGAUAUAUGUAAAAUAAAAAGAUAUUUAAGAAUAUAAAAAUGUUGAUUGAAAAAUAUGUUUAUGAUAUAAGCGAAAUAUUAUUUGAAAAAAUUUAACUAUCCAAACACAUUUUGAUCUCAAAUAUUGUUUGAAAUCGUGUUUUGAUUUCAAAGCCGCAAUCAACAUAUUUCCCUCCAUGCUUCUUGAGAAGAUUUAAUUGAUAUAUUUGGUUUUGUUUUUACAACUGUUUGGGUGCGUUUUGGACUUGUACUAAUAAGUUCAGAACUAAGAUCGAUCGUCAAAAAAGUCAUUAAUUGGUGGGUGAUCGCCUGUUCGGCACGGAACAAUCGGCACGGAACAAACACUUGCAAAGAUUGUUUCGUCCACAUUCUUCGUCCCCUCUAUCAAAAUGAUAAAAAAGAAAGGCAAUGAAAGAUUUUGAACUGAAAGUUCUUACUUACAUUCCCUCAUCCUUUAUUAUCCAAUUCAUCCCUCUCGCCCAAUAACCCAAUAAGAAGCGAGCUUACUUCUUCGUUUUCCUGUGUUUGAUUUCUUCCAUUUCUGCCACGAACACUAUAGAGAAUGAAGAGAGGACACAAAUAGAUUCCUCUCAUUGACGCUUUUCAAGGCUUUACCUCUCCCUCCUAAAUAAGUAACGGAAGCCUAUUUCUUGGGUUCUUUGGUACAUUAUAUGCUACUAGUUUUUUUGGCCCUUGUGUUGUGCACGAGAGUGCCCAAGAUCUUCUUAAAUCAGUUUAAAUCAAAAGUUAAACAAAGCAUGUAAUAUUAGCAAAACAACGGUUAUAAACUCAUUAAAAUGAUUAUAUUCAGAAUUUAUUAAACAAAUCUAACUAAAAUUAUUAUUAGGAAGAACAUGAGUAGUCAUCUUAUCAACCACUUGGUCAAGGUUCAAACUUGAAUACUAAUCAAUUCCUGCAGUCAAGUAAUUAAGUAUCAAAUUAACCCUACACGAGGACAUGCAACAAAGGCAUUCAGAUGAAUCACAGAAUCAUCUUAAAUCUCCUAAACUAAGUACACACAAUAUAGCAAUGAAGUCUUCCAAUGAAAAUUUGGGUAAAAAAGCAAAUUUCAAGUGAUACUUCAUCAUCAUUCCACCAAUCAUGCUCCACACAUCAGCAGAUAAUUAGCAAGUAUAUAAUCCUGGGAUAACCACAUAGAAAUGCUGCCUAUCAGUGCUAAUAAUGGUUGGUGGACAUUGGUGCUGCAGCAAUGCAGAAUUGCUUGGCUUGACUAUUUUGUAGUGGUUCAAACUUCUGUGUGGUACUUGGCAUUCAUAGAAUUGCUGGGAAAGUACUAUACUUCAUUUGUGGUUGUUAAGAGAAUAUAAGUAUUUUUAUAGAUAAUAAAUUAGUAAGGGUAUUCUUGUAAAUAGUUUGUUAGAUUUGUACUCCUAUAAAUACUAGUUGGUCACGCAUAAUACAGUGACUAGAUGUUUUCCUCCCAAAAUGUCUAUUCUCAUGGAAUCAGAGUAAAAGUCCUAGGGUUAGGAUUAAACAUCUAACAAAAGUCUUGUUCACGUGAUAUUGGUUAUCGCGUGCUGUUCAUGCGAUACUGUUCAUCGGGGGGGUACUGUUCACGCGUUACUGUUCAAAGAUAUUGUUCAUCGCAAAUUUUGACUGCUUUUUUGUUUGAAGUGCUAUUCGUUAUGGCUAAAAAUUUUGCUAAUGCGAUUAUCACUGACCAAACUGAAUCAAGUUCUUCAGCACAUGUGUCCCAGAAGACUUUUACUAUAUCCGAAAAAGAUUAUAUUAAAUUCCUACAGUACCAAACUACAAAUCACGCAUCUCUUCCCUCUACUUCUUUAGCACAAAAAGGUAAUGCUAUGGCUUAUUUCUCCACAUCCUUUAAUUUUAACUCAUGGAUUAUUGAUUCCGAAGCUACUGAUCAUAUGUCAGGUACCUCUAAAAACUUUUCUAAUUUUCAAGAGUCUAUUUCCUUUUCUCAUGUUACUUUAACUGAUGGAUCUAUCACUAAAGUUAAAGGACUAGGCACUGUAGAAAUUAAUCCAUCUCUUCCGAUGUCUUUUGUUCUUUACGUACUCAAUUUGCCCUUUAAUCUAAUGUCUAUUAGUAAACUCACUAAAUCUCUACAGUGUUCAGUUACUUUUUUUUCUGAUUUUGCUGUCAUUCAGGAUUUGAAGACAAAGAAGAUGAUUAGUGGAGGGCAUGAGCAUAAUAGUCUUUAUUUUCUCAACUCCAAUGGUCCGAUUGCAUGUUCUGCUACUGUUUCUCCUCUUGAAAUUCACUGUCGUUUGGGUCAUCCGUCUUUACAAAAUUUAAAAAAGUUGGUUCCUACUUUGAAUCAGUUGUCUUCUUUAGAAUGUGAGUCUUGUCAGUUAAGAAAACAUCAUUUGUUUCUUUUGCUCCUAGAAUCAAUAAACGGGUUUCUGAACCCUUUUUGUUAGUUCAUUCUGAUAUUAGGGUUCUAAUCGAGUCACUUCAAAGUUAGAUUUUAAAUAUUUUAUAAUCUUUAUUGAUGAUUUUUUCAGAGUUACAUGAAUUUAUUUAAUGAAAGAUUGUUCAGAACUAUAUUCCAUUUUUUGUGUAUUUAUUACAGAAAUAAAGAAUCAAUUUGGUGUGCCUAUACAUAUAUUUCGCAGUGAUAACGUGAAAGAAUAUUUUUCUACUCCUUUUAAUAUCUUUAUGACUAUGUCCGAUAUUAUUCAUCAGUUCUCUUGUUCUCACACUCCACAACAGAAUGGAGUUGUUGAAAGAAAAAUUGGACAUUUAAUCAAGGUUGCUCGAAUACUUUUGUUGCACAUAAAUGUGCCCAAAUAAUUUUGAAGUGAUGCAGUUCUAACUGCAUGUUAUUUAAUUAAUCGCAUGCCAUCUAAUAUUUUUGGAGGUCAAUUACCUCACUCCAUUCUGUUUUCUCAUGAACCUGUGUUUAAAUUACCUUCUCGUAUUUUUUGAUAUGUGUGUUUUGUUCAUUAACUUGCUUUUGGGGUGGAUAAAUUAGAUCAUCGUACUAUUAAGUGUAUUUUCUUAGUAUACGCAUGAACGCAAAAAGGGUAUAGAUGUUACAAUCCAAUUUUAAAUCGAUUUUUUACUUGUGUUGAUGUUGUUUUCUUUAAAUCUACUCCAUAUUUUGUGACACACGGUAUGCCUUGUGAGUUAAACCAGUGUCCCUCUUCUUCCUCUCCUAUUUUACCAGUCUCUUUCUCUUUAUUACCUGAGUUAUUUAGUCCACCAGAUUCCAUAGCUCGAUUAUCUCGUCCUAAUUUUUAAGUUUAUUCUCGUCGUUCCAUGGUUGAGAAAGCUCCUGAUAUGCCACGCACUUCACCAAUUAACUCUCAAUCUUCAAAUCCAGGCAUGACGCCCUCCUCUAAGUUAGAUCUUCCUAUUGCUUUACGUAAAGGUAAGAGGCAUUGUACUUCUCAUCAUAUUUCUAAUUUUGUUUCUUAUUUUCGUCUCUCUAUGUCAUAUUUUUCUUUUGUUGUUUCACUUGAUUCUGUCUCCAUUCCUAAGUCUAUUAUGCAUGCUCUUAAUCAUUCUGGUUGAAGAUUAGUUAUGCAAGAAGAGAUGUCUGCUUUGGAACAAAAUGGUACUUGGGAUCUUGUCCCUCUUUCCUCUGGUAAGCCUGUUGUUGGUUGUAAAUGGGUGUACACUAUAAAAGUACAGUCUAAUGGUUCUAUUGAUCGAUUGAAAGCUCGUCUGGUAGCUAAAGAAUUUACUCAGGUGUAUGGAAUAGAUUACUUAGAAAUAUUUUCUUCUGUUGCAAAGAUUAUCUCAAUUCGUCUUCUUAUCUCUUUGACAGUAACUUAUAAUUGGCCAUUGCAUCAGUUGGAUGUAAAAAAAUACAUUUUUACAUAGAGAUUUGGACCAAGAGGUAUAUAUGGAACAACCUCCUGGCUUUGUUGUUCAGGGGGAGAAUUCGCGAUUAGUCUGUCGUCUGAAAAAAUCCUUAUAUGGAUUGAAACAAUCUCCUAGGGAUUGGUUUGGUCGAUUUAAUAGUGUUGUCAUGGAGUUCGGUCUGACAAGAUGUGGAGCAGAUCACUCUGUAUUUUAUCGGCAUUCUAAUAUUGGUAAAAUUUUAUUAGUUGUUUAUGUGGAUGAUAUUGUGAUUACAGGUGAUGAUAUUGUGAGGAUCCAGAAACUUAAAUCCAAUCUGCAGGCAAACUUUCAGACAAAGGAUUUAGAUCAUUUACCGUAUUUUCUGGGUAUUGAGGUAGCUCGAUCUAAAUAUGAGAUUUAUUUAUGUCAAAGAAAAUAUGUACUCGAUAUGCUGAGUGAAGUUGGAAUGUUAGGUUGCCGACCUGUGGAUACUCCUAUGGAUCCUAAUAUGAAAUUAGUAGAAGAUCAAGGUGCAUUAUUAUAUGAUUCUAGGUAAUAUCGAAAACUUGUGAAAAAAUUAAAUUGUCUCACUGUAACGAGACCUAACAUUUCAUUUGCAGUGAGUCAAUUUCUUGAGACCUCUCAUACUAGUCAUUGGGAUGUUGUUAUAUGGAUUCUCAGGUAUUUUAAGAGUGCUCCUGAAAAAGGGUUGCUGUAUCAAAAUCAUGGACACACUGAUAUUAAAGAAUACAGUGAUGCCGAUCGGGCUGGUUCUACCUCAGAUAAAAAAUCGACCACAGGAUAUUGUGUGUUUGUUGGUGGUAAUUUAGUGUCGUGAAAGAGUAAGAAUCAAACAGUUGUCUCCAAAUCAAGUGCAGAAUCUGAAUACCGCGCUAUGACUCACACUGUGUGUGAGUUGGUUUGGUUGAAUAGCAUGUUAGUAGAAAUUGGGUUUGAGCAUAAACAGCCUAUGAAUUUAGUGUGUGAUAAUCAAGCGGCUGUUUAUAUUGCGUCUAAUCCAGUGUUUCAUGAAAGGACAAAACAUAUUGAAGUUAAUUGUCAUUUCAUUCAAGAGAAAUUGCUUGAUGGAGUCAUCAAGACAUCUCAUGUAUCGUCUGUAGAUCAACUGGUUGAUUUGUUUACCAAGAGUUUAGGGGCCUCUAGGGUGAAAUACAUUUGUAACAAGUUGGGUGCUUAUGAUAUGUAUGCUCCAACUUGAGGGAAGUGUUAAGAGAAUAUAAGUAUUCUUGUAAAUAAUAAAUUAGUAAGGGUAUUCUUGUAAAUAGUUUGUUAGGUUUGUACUCCUAUAGAUACUAGUUAGUCACUCAUAAUACGGUGACUAGAUGUUUUCCUCCCAAAAUACCUAUUCUCAGUGGUUAUCAAUGUACAUGUGAAAUAGUCAGGAGAAAAAUGACUAGGAAAUGAGUAAGUAGGCUUCUAGCCAAGGGAAGUAGAAAUGUAGCACAAUUUGGCAUACUGGUCAUAGCUUAUAGAUAAUAACGUUGAUGAUGAACAAAGCACUAGAUGCUUAAUUUGUUGUCUAUAUAUCUUAAGUAAUUGCUCUUAUUGGUGUUCUUUCAGCUUUCUUCAUUUUUGGUUAGGCAAGAUACUGUUUGAAUAACUGUCAAGAAAGCCACCUAUAUUUUUUUAUUACUUGCUUUUGGACAGAUAAAUUAGUCGUAAUGCCUGUGGAAUACAAGCAUCUUGUCACAUGUUUCUUUUUGCUCCAGGAUUGUGGAAAGUAGUUUUUAUGCUAUAACUGAAGUAGAGUUCAGGUAAAAAGGAGCAAUUAGGCGUUUAACUAUAACAGCUACAUUUACUGCUACCUUCACACCAAAAUAAAGAGCUACAUUUACUACUACCUUCGCACCAGUUAUGAACAAAAGCUUUUCCUCCAAUUCAGGCAAACAAAUCCAGUUGCUUUUCUAAAGGCAGGUCAAGAAAUUUAACGCUAAUAUUUUAUAAUCAAUCUCGCACACAGAAUCUAAUUACAAACCAACAAAUUUAACAGCCAGAGACAACUGACAAACAGCAAGAAAACAGUAGUACAACAGACAAAAUAAAAUCAAGGCAAAAGUAGAGCAAGAAGUUCACCUUGCAAAAGUACCAAAACUAAGCUUUUAUCAAUAUUUCUUACAAUCAUAACCAAGCAAAAAUGAGUAACCUCAAUUAUUUAUGUUAAAUACAGCCCUUAAUUAUAAAAGGAGAAAAAUGAAGAGCAGAACAAGCAAAUCGUGUCUUGUGACAAGAAAAUAACAGUGCAACAAAGAAAAUAUGAUCAAGGCGGAAAUGGAGUGAAGGGCUCAGCCUGCAAAACCACUAAAAGGCAGAAAUAAAGCGAGGUGUUCACCUUGCAAAAUUAGGGAACUGAAACUUUCAAUUGAAAAAGGAAGUUGCUUUUAUUAGCGAGGCAAAAGAGUGAAGAAUUCACAUUACAAAACCGCCAAACCCUAGCCUUCAAUUGAAGAAAGAAACAAAUCUAAUGUGCAACUUUUGAGAUGGCUUGCUCACAAGAUUACCUACACAAGGGAGCUUUGUGCUGCUCCCACAGACCACUUCGCACACAGCCCACUCAUCAAUAGAGCUGAAGCAACGACAAUUACGCACAAGACAGACGGUCUUAGUUGGAGAAACCAAACACACACCUAAAGCACAAAUACAAAAGCCACCAAAGUUACCCAUAAUUACUGGAUAAUCAGUCCAUGGGCAACAAAACCACUGCCAUCCAAUGCCAAAUGACCAAAACACCCCUCAAGUUCACAAAAAUCACAGGAUAACCAGACCAUGAGGCACUAUUCACAAGCCAUUCACUCUUUAUAUAUGUAAGAUAUGCUUGCCUACGUGCAUCUACCCAGGUGGGGCUUGCUAUGCAUAUCGCUUUACCAGAACUUUAAGCUUUGUUUGGAAAAAAUUAUUUCGUUUUCCAUAAACACAUUUUCUAAUCAUCUUUUUUUCUCACACAUAUCAAAUCGCUAUAAUAAUUUUUCUAAAAAAAAUUCUGAAAAAUGCAAUCCAAACAAAGCCUUUAGAUUCUCUCUUUUUUCCCAGCUUCCUCGAGAAUCUAAAAAAUCGUUUGACUUUGAAUAAAAGCAAGGAAGAAGGGAGCUUUUUCACUCCUGAAAGAAGUCACCACUAGAGUGCAAAGCACUCUUGCAAGAGCUGCUUUAGAGAAUAGAGGAAAUAGAGCAUAGCACUCAGAACGAGGCCAAGCGUUUUUGUUCCAAUCUAACGUAAGGAGAUUAUGAAUUUUAUACUAUAUAGGGUAAAAUACAGAAAACCUCAUUGUGGUUUGACUAAUUGACACGCUAUCUCCUCAUUAUUUAAAAAUACCCACACUACCCCCUCGUGCUUUAGACUAGAGUGGAAUUACGCUUUUUGACCUGCUGUGAACCGGUAGUCUGUCUAUUACUAAUUUUUUUCUUUUUUUAUUUUAUUUUCCUUUCCUUUCCUUUUUUUGUCUUUUCUUUUCUAUUCUUCCUCUCCUUCUUCCUCCAUUUCACAUUCUCCACAACUCACAAUAUCGAAGCAUGCUUGGGAGGUCUCCGACGAGUCUUUUUAGGUGGUGGUUUCCCAAAAGCACUGCAAGUGCAAAACCCACAUGCUGAAACCUUCAGAGACGGCAGCUCUAUCGCCGGAGACACCCUACCAGUGCGAUAACGGGGUCCGCCGCCGUUGGAUCGGCUCCUCUCAAUCGAUCCAACAACGGUUCUUGGUGACACUCAGGAGGUGACGACCUCUUCUUUGGCUUCUUGCUAGCCUUGGGGUUGGGUUCUUGCUGGCCCUAUAUAACUGCAAGCAAAAUUGCUACAUCAAUUGCAUUGAAGAGUCAUUUGGCAGGUAGUCCUCGCCUUUUAUUUGUAGGUUUUUGGGAGAUCGGAGAUUUUAGUUUAGAAUCUUCUUUCAAUUCUUUGCUAAGAUGAAGCUCUCUUUCUCCCUCUCCUCAAAGCCCCAAAAUUCGACCCUCGAAAAACCCUCUGCCGCCGCCACCGACAGCAGAGAGUCAAACGAAUUCGUUACCGAAUUCGACUCCUCCAAGGCCCCAACCGUAAAAAAUAGGGAUAAUCGGGUAAUUUCUCCUAAGCCUAACAAAUGGAGGCCGACUAGGAAGAUGAAAAACCUCGAGCUCCCACUCCAAUCUGAUGCUCAAGAGCAAUCGAUGCUCCAAUUUGAAGUUGUUGAAUCUGGCCCGUCUGACCCAACUUUUGAGAGUAUGUCCUACGACCUUAAUCUGCGUAAUUCGGGUAAUGGGGCGCUGCUAUUGCCGCGCUGCGUAAUUCUUUUCUUCUUUUUCCUUUCGCCGCUAUUGCUGCCAUUGCCGUUGCCACUUUGUUAGCCAUUACUACCACCAUCACCUACCACGAAACUUUCACCAACCCAAGAGACAUAAAUAGACAACCCAAGAGACAUAAAUUGCCGCUGCCACUUUGUUAGCCAUUGUAACGAAGUUCCGAAUUCAACAAUGCUAGAGAGUUGCGUGAAUGAUGGAGAUCAAGGUUUACGAACCCCUGAUAAAAUUGGAUGAAGAUGAAUUGAUUUAUCGGAUCAAGCCAGACUGAAUUGACAGUGGAAGUGCCCAGAUUUUUGGGAUUCUUUGGGUAGCAAGAUCCACCUAGAUUCUGUGAGAUGCUAUGGUAGAUUUUGGCGAUGAAGAUUUUGGAUCGAGUAAAGGAAGAAAAGGAAAGGAAAAUGGAAGGGAAAAGCAAAAUAGAAAAAAUGAAAACUGAAGGAAAAAAAAAAGGAAGGAGCAAGAUUUCUCUUAUAAAAUUUGUAAAGAUACCUAUGAUAGUUAAGUCAAAGCACCAAAAUUGAAAGAAAAAAUGACAAUAAAAUAAAAAAUAUUAAAAAAAUAAUAAUACGUCACUUUCAGGUAGCAUACAGGUUACCGGUUAAAUUUCACUCUAAUCCAAAGCACGAGGGGAUAGUGUGGGUGUUUUUAAAUAAUGAGGAGGUAGCGUGUCAAAUAGCCAAACCACAAGGAGGUUUUUUGUAUUUUACCCUACUAUAUAUGUUUCGAAGUUUAUGUGUGACUUGGCUACAGAGAGACAAGAAAAGAACGUAAUUAAUGAGCAAAAGCUGUACUGGUUGAAGGAGCUCAACAGAUUCAAAGGGACAAUUAGAGACAAGACUCUGUGGAAGUUCUCACAUGAAAUGAGAUAGGUGAGCUCCAAGCCACUCCUCCAUUAAGGGAAAGCCAGAAAGGGGAAAAAGGAUCAAGACACCGUGCUAUAGGGCAACUCCAUGAAUGUGAAAAGAGAAAAAUAGCUGUUACAAUGAUAACCCAUAAAAUUUGUGAAAAUAAUUUGAUCUAACACUGUAAUUUCCCUCUAUUGUACCUGUUGAGAGAGCAUAUAUAUUUUGCAUAGAAGUUUCCAACAAUGAGUCCCUUAAAUGCAGCCACGGUUAUCACUGCUAUACCUCUUUUUGAGAAACACAUGACUAACCUGAUACUUGGUGCACUUCGUCUGGCGAAAAAGAAUACCUGAAGAAGAAUCUUAAUUUUCCUUACUGGAACAAAUUGAGUAGACAAUGAACUAAUUAUGUCAACUGGGAUACAUAAGGAACUAAACUCAGACCGGUACAAAGACGGGGGAACAACCUAUAUCCCCUAUUUGCCUGGAAAUUUCUUUUCUCCGAGAUCACAUGCAUAUGCCGAAGCAUAAAGCAAGAUCACCACAAAUUAAGUUGAAUGCAACUGAUGUGAAACUGAAGAACCCUUCUCCCUCCUUACCAUGGCAUGCAUUUGCUGAAGAAUACAGUACAUUAUCACAAAUUGAAUACAAUACAACACAUACGAAACUGGAAACCCUUCUCCCGUUUUCAUGGCGUUAGACUAAUUUUACUAAUGGUAUACGUCUCAAUUACAUAUGUACUAUGACCUUAAACGAAACAGAGACUUCCAUUUAAAAUUUUACAAUGUAUUUUCUAAACGAAACAGAGAAUUCCAUUUACAAUUGUUUACGAUGUAUUUUCAAUGUCGAACACAAUACCGAAGCAACUUCAAUGACUGACCAACAGAAACUUCCAUUUCAACUUAGUCGGUGUACAUUAUAAUGUACAGUUUUGAUAGCAAAUGAAUACAAAGGUUUCUCUAUGUGUAUCAUUCACCAGUAAUCACCGCAAGAGCAAGAACCAUCCACAAAAUGGUGAAAUCGGUUUCGAUCCCUCACAAUUAUUUUGCGUCCUGUAAUUUUUGAGAUGAGCUUAGUAACAGUAUGACAAUCUAGACAUACCCUUAGGUUCUUGACAAUCUUAAUAGUAGUUCCCUGACUGGUACUUAUAAGUCCAAAGGCAAUUGCAAGCUUUUCACUAUGAACUUCAAGCGAUCGCUCUUUCUCAGUGUCUCCAAUAUCAUGUAACACUGUGUCUAUCUUAGGUACAUAUCCAUGAGCUUUUAGCCGUCGAUUCAUCUCCUCUAACAUCAUGUAAAUCUCUUUACUAUUCGGGUGUUUCCAGUCACCAGAAAGAAAUUCAUGUACCUUGUUGUCCACCUCAAUUGAACUGCAACCUGGCUCCUUUUGGACCCCACUUUGCUUCAUCAUUGACCUUACUCUUGCAACCCCGUCCCAAUUGCCAGUAGCUGCAUAUAUAUUAGAAAGAAGAACAAAAGUUCCUGAAUUUGCAAUUUUAUGCUCCACAAGAGAUCCCGCAAUAACCUCUGCCAAAUUCAGGUUUCCAUGAAGUCUACAUGCAGCAAGUAGAGUUCCCCAUAAAACAGGAUCCGGGUCAAUCUUCAUGUUCUUAAUGAGCUGAUAUGCAUCUUCCAAGUGCCCAGCACGGCCAAGAAGAUUUACCAUACAUCCAUAAUGCUCAACCUUAGGCUGAAACCCAUAUUCAUCUUUCAUUAAAUUGAAAAAGGCCCAACCUUCAGAGAUCAGUCCAGCAUUAGCACAAGCAUUUAAAAUACCAAGAAAUGUUAUAUCAGUUGGUUCAACACACAUUCGACGCAUCUCAUUAAACAACUCUAAUGCUUCUCGGCUAAGCCCAUGCAUUGCAUAUCCCAGAAUCAUGGAAUUCCAUGCAACAACAUCCUUCAAGAUCAUUCCAUCAAACACUGCCCUAGCAUCCUCCAAACUUCCACAUUUGCUGUACAUAUCAACCAAAGCAGUACCAACAUGGACAUUUAUUUUAAUGCCAUUAUUCUUCAGGUAAGCAUGAACCCACAGGGCUGACUCCAAAGACCCCAAUUGCCCACAUGCAGAAAGAAUUGCAAGCAUAGUCACUUCAUUAGGCUUCACCUUUGCCGAUAACAUCUGCCUAAAAAGUACUAGAGCUUCAUUUGGCCUUCCAUGCUGAGUAUACCCAUCAAUCAUCACAUUCCAGCAGACUACAUCCCUGUCAUCCAUCUCAUUGAACAAAGCUCUCGCCUCAUCAACAUCCCCACUCUUUGCAUACCCAGUAAUCAUUGCCGUCAAUGAAACCAAACUUCUUUCAGGCAUUGUGUCAAACAAUUGACGGGCAGACACCACAUCACCACUUCUUGCAUAAAUAUCCACAAGUGCAGUUCUCACAUAUGUAUCACAGUCAAAUCUGAACUUGAGGGCUUGGCAAUGAAGAGCUCGCCCAAGAUCAAAAGGGCAAGCUUUAAGGAUAGCCGAGAACGUAAAUGCAUUGGGUUCAACGUUUUCCAUGAGCAUUUGAACGUAGUAAACCAAAGCUUCAUUAUGAAGAUUAUUCAUGGCAUGGCUAUGAAUGAUGGUAGUGUAAAAGAAAACAUUGGGAUUGUGAGAUUUCUUGAAAAGUGUAACUGUCUGUUGAAGAUAGCCAAAAGAAGAGUAAGAGCGCUGGAGCUUGAAAUUCAAGACAGGGUAAUUUUCAAAGCCAUGACGCAUGAGGAAUGCAUGAAUUUGUCGAAUGUGAUUGAUGGUUUUUGAUUUGUCGAUAAAAAAUGCAAGGUUAUCAGGAGAUGGUGGAGAAUAAUUUUUCUUGAUGGUUGUUUUGGUCGGUGUAAGUGUUGGUGGAGCGGUAAAAAGGGAAGUUGAAGACAUGAUUUACUAGCUGCGCCCCCAAAGCUUAGCUUUCACAAGAUUCAAGUUGUCAGAGAAACAAUUAAACCUGAAUGCUGGAGGGUCAUUACUGGUGCAAGCAUCUAAGAUAUCCAUUCUAUGUAAGACUAAGUAAACGCUGGACUAGCUGAGGAGUCAAUUUCUGCAGCAAGCAAUUUCCCUUGUUGAGAUAAAACCCGGAAUUAGUGCCUAACAGAUUAGAACUCAGGAAAAAUCAUGUAAGAUACACUUGAAAUAAAUGGAACAAGUUAAGAAGUGACAAACAAUUAUAGGCACUAGCGCAUGUUGGUGUUUUUAGUUAAUUUCAGAAAUUUUUGUACUAUCGGUUUAUUCAUUGCAAGUAAAGAGGUACGUCAAUCAAUUACAGAAGUUACCUUGAAAUGUCAUGUUUGUCGCAAUGCAUUUCGACUAUACAGCCUACGAAUACAGAUUUUUUACUGAAAAAAAGUCAGAGGCUUAAAAAAGAGAAACUCAAAGAAUUUUCUGGAAUUUUUUUGUUACUUCUCUACUCUACUAGAGUUGGAUUUCUGACAACUCUUACUGUAAUUUCCCUCCUUUUAUUUUCUUUUCUUUUCUUGCACCAGCUUGCCUUGUGAAGUCCUAGAAGAGCAAUAUGAAACCAAAGAAAGAAGAACAAUCUAAGCACAUCAACCUACUUCCUCCCGGAAAAGUUCACCUUGUGUAUCAAUUAUCAGCCAAACUUCAGAAGAAUUCCUCCUCGAACUGUUAUCUUUUGUGCACUUAAAUAGAGAAUGAUGCGCUCUUCCACUUACUAAUCUUUUGUAAAAGCUCUUGGUUCUACCAUUUCAAUUCCAUGAAGAUAGAGAAUGUAUUAACAAACUUCUAAUUUUCCAUCAAAUAUUGCUGGUAGAAUCUCAUAUUCAUCAUUUACAACCAUUGAAUAACAUAAUCUCGAAUUGGCACAGUAAAAAACUACCUCAAAACCCACAAGGGUCACAUCAAAAUCGAAACAUAAUGAGAUAUUUAAGCCAGUAAUUGCUUCAAACAGUUGGCAGGCAUCUUCAACUACCUUACUUAAUUCACACUAUACAAACGCUAGUUGAUUUCUUUUGUGCAUUCCCAAUGUUCGGGUACGUGGAUUUACAGCUAAAUUUGCAGUUAGAUAUUGUGGUCAAGUACAGAAAGACUACUAGAGAUAGAGAAGAUGUAUUCACCUGAGGAGCUUGAUAACUGCUGCUUAGGAGUCGGAGAGAAAUGGCGGAGGGAAGAAAGAUGGAGCCAUGCUGAUUAGUCCAUUUCUGUUUUCCUUUCCUUUCAGGAUAGCUUUGCGGAGAUGGAUUUGUUUGCGACGUCGUUUCCUGUCGUUGUUUACUCCCUAUUUGCUACUAGAGAAUAUUUCCUAGUAGCAUUUAUUUCUCAUUAACAUUAUUUGAGUAAUUUCACUUUUUCCUUCAAAAAAAAAAAGUGAUUUCAUUUUGGUUACUAUUUCCAAAUUGAGACUUUUUAUUCGUCUGAGGUAAAUUUUUCCCAAACCCUUUAACAAGAGCACAUGUCAGCCAAACCGUACUAGUUGUUUUUAUUCUUAAUAUGGAAUUGAGUCCUCAAAUGCUGGAAAAUCAAUUCCGUAAAAAAAUCAACUUUUCAAAAUUUCACUUGGCGCAUUAAAAUAUAGUUAAAAAAUGAAUCAAAUUAUUUGAUACUCGAAUUGAACUCGACUUGAUAAAAACUCGUUCAAAUUUAGUUCGUUAACUAAUCAAACCAAAUUUGAAUAAUGUUUUAUAUUUGAUAACAUUAUUCAAAUUCGAUUAAAAAAAUAACUCUCUCGAACUUGAUUUGACAAAUAAAUAAGUCAAAUUUGAACAAAAUUUCAUAUUCGUUAAAAUAAUCAAAUAAGUUUCAACUAGAAUAUUCAACUUAAUUAAGUUCAUUUACACCCCUACAUCAAAAAAUUCAAAAUUAAAAAAAAAAAAAAACAGAAUCCCUAACAAGCAUUACAAAAAACAAAAAGAAAAAAGCCCUCAUAAUUCUUGUUACGUGUAAAUAGAAAUUUGACGUAUUUAAAAUAAUGAAAAUAUCACCAUGAUCUCCCUUAUUUAUCUUGUGGUGCGCAUUUGCUUAAAUUUUUACGCCAACUAUUCUUCGUUGCUCCGGACUAAAAUCCAAAUUGAAGUUGCGUAAAAAACGAAGCAGAAAAGAAAAGAAAGAAAGAAAGAAAGCAAAUCUUAACCAAGUAACAAGAACUAUAAGAAGCAAAAUUAUCAAGCUUUUGACUUGCUUGAAUCCAAGUUCGGGCCCUACAAAAUAUUGAACCACAAAAUGUAUUCCAUUUUUACACUAACAUAUGCUUUAAACAUUGUCAAAAACUUCCUUUUACAUAAAAUCAAUACCUUAGCAAGUUCAAAUUGCCAAAUUCAUCUUUUCCAAAUCAUAAAAAUGCACCCCCUAGUUACAUAUAUUCUUGAACUUGAUCCAGCUGAAUCAACCUUAUACAAGCACUCAGCUAGAAAUCAAACAGGGCUCAAGUCAUACAAGUUAAACAAACCAUCCCAGCCACUCAAAACAAGCCAUUCCAAGCUUCUUCUUCUUUCCCCCCCCCCCCCUUGCUCCUGAAAACAAGUAGCAUUGUUCAUUGAUCUGCUACAGAUUGGAGGAGGGAUUUUAAGAAUAGAAGAAAAUAAAUAAGAACCAUGGGUUUAUGAUGAUCUACAUUCUUUUGGCACAAAACUGAAGCUUAUGAGGACGAAUUUUAAUCCUCAGAGUCUCUGCUUUCAGGAAGUACUAUUCCUUCUGAAUUGAUGAACCUGUUUGUUGCACCAAAAAUAUCAGCUAGUUGCAGAACUGUUGUUUGACAUGUAGCAGUCAUUGGCAGGAAUGUAUCUGGAAGGCUAGGGACACAUUCAGGGAGAAACUCAAUCUUUAUGGAUGUUCGAGUAUACAGGCCGAGCACUGCCCGACAAAAUAUGAAUCUGCAAAAGGGCAACAUACUUUCACCUCCAAAACGUAUAUUAUUUUCAAAAAGAGGCUCUUCUAAAGCCAAAGGACAGUCUACUACAAUGAACCCAAAAUUUAAAACCAAAAAAAAAAUAACAAUAAUAAUAAAAUAAAGGAUCUUAAAGCCCAUAAAGCAAUGUGUCUUUCGGAUGUUCCAACAUUUAGCUGCUUUCAAUGUAAAUAGAAGUCAAAACGCUUGAUGUACUGAACUACUGAUAGCUUGAAAUUUCAUGUUCACCAGAGGUCCACAAGUUCAAAUCAAAUAGGUACUAGGCAAAGGAUAAUUGAGAAAAGUAUAAGCAGCACUUAAUUACCUCAGGAGGAGGAGUCUAAUGAAUGGAUCAGCCAAAAUUUGAGCCCAAACAGGAUUAAGAUUGUCUGAUGCAGCCAGUAGUGAUCCCCACUCAUUUAACGAUGAGGAAAGCAACUUCUCAGCUUUAUUAUACAAAUCCUGACAACACAUACUUCUUCUGAGACUUUGCUGAUCCUUAAAGAAAAUUAAACUAAAAAGUGGAAAAAACUGAAGGGAACACUAUUGACUACUAUCUAACCGUCUCAAUAUCAGAGCUGGUAAAACCAAGCAUAAGAAUAAAAGCCUGCAGAGGAGCUGUCAGGAAAUUGGUGAAUGGACUUCCACCAGGCUGGCGAGAAGAGUCAACAACUGAUAUAGGCAAUGAGGCAGUGGGUGACAGGAGCAUGGCAACUGGCUCUCCUUUUUCAGCUCCAUGUAUAGCCUAUCCACGGUGCAUGCCACAACUAGGUGAUGUCAAUAGUUAUCAACUCCUAGAAAUUGAUUUAUCAGUACUUUUAAACGAAACAGAGACUUCCAUUUAAAAUUUUACAAUGUAUUUUCUAAACGAAACAGAGAAUUCCAUUUACAAUUGUUUACGAUGUAUUUUCAAUGUCGAACACAAUACCGAAGCAACUUCAAUGACUGACCAACAGAAACUUCCAUUUCAACUUAGUCGGUGUACAUUAUAAUGUACAGUUUUGAUAGCAAAUGAAUACAAAGGUUUCUCUAUGUGUAUCAUUCACCAGUAAUCACCGCAAGAGCAAGAACCAUCCACAAAAUGGUGAAAUCGGUUUCGAUCCCUCACAAUUAUUUUGCGUCCUGUAAUUUUUGAGAUGAGCUUAGUAACAGUAUGACAAUCUAGACAUACCCUUAGGUUCUUGACAAUCUUAAUAGUAGUUCCCUGACUGGUACUUAUAAGUCCAAAGGCAAUUGCAAGCUUUUCACUAUGAACUUCAAGCGAUCGCUCUUUCUCAGUGUCUCCAAUAUCAUGUAACACUGUGUCUAUCUUAGGUACAUAUCCAUGAGCUUUUAGCCGUCGAUUCAUCUCCUCUAACAUCAUGUAAAUCUCUUUACUAUUCGGGUGUUUCCAGUCACCAGAAAGAAAUUCAUGUACCUUGUUGUCCACCUCAAUUGAACUGCAACCUGGCUCCUUUUGGACCCCACUUUGCUUCAUCAUUGACCUUACUCUUGCAACCCCGUCCCAAUUGCCAGUAGCUGCAUAUAUAUUAGAAAGAAGAACAAAAGUUCCUGAAUUUG